CCGGCUACGAUAUAUAUAUCUCGAUCUUCUCUUGUGCUGCUAUUGAUACACCGAAGAGAUCGUUGGAUCGACCAGGACAUCAGUAAGGAUAUUUUACACCUUCCUAAUUAAUUGCAUUUCCUUUAAUUUAUUUACUCAACCCAAGUAGUAAUAAUCAGAGUAUGCAACUAACUACGCUGAUGCAGCGUCCGUCCUCCCAUGCGUUUCACGGACGACUGUGACCGCUCCUUCUAUCGCACGAGUGCGCUGCAAAUCUUUUCUAUCAAAAUCGCAUCGAUAAGAGGAGGUCUGCAGUGGCCGCUAGACGUGUUUGGCGCCGUCGUAGCGCGCACGCAGGCAUAAUAUUUUCUUCGCCCGUCCGAGGAGCAAUUGCCAGACCAUCACAGAGGAGGUAAUUUGUGUUUUUGUGUUAUCUGAUCAUCUCUAUCCAUCGUCGGAUGGAACAAUAGUGUUACUAUGUUUACUUAAUUAUAAUUCUUCGAUUGCGGCAUCCCUAUCUAGAACUCACGGGUCCUGCCCGUCUUGUUAUGACCUGCAUUGAUCCUGGGAACAUCGAGGUCGUGCUCAAAGUAAUUAACUCGACUGAUCUAGCAAGGUGGGCUACAUACCGCGUACGUACCGUCGAAUCGAUGCAGAUGGAUAUGUUGACUGGUAGAGAUUUUUUUUUCUUUUGAGAGUACGGUGACUUUCUUUUUUAGGGAAUUGAGAAUAUGGUCACUUGUACAUGUAUCAGCUACUGAUUCGGCCGGCAGGCAGCAACUCUUCUUAUGGGCCAGCCAGGAAGGCCUGGUAUCCCUCCUCGCCAUUACACGGUCCAGUCCAUAGGCCAGAGGCCCAAAUCACACAAGCGCACAACAUAGACUUCCACAAAGGCCUAGCUACUAGUACACAUAUAUAUCGGGGUGGGCCUGAUUUCGUGGCCCAGGACGGCCGCCCUGCCCCUCUGGGACGGGCCUGAUUUCGUAGGUAAACUCCUCAGAGCAUCUCUUCCGCUAAAACUUUCCCUCAAGAAAAAAAUUCUCUUCCGCUAAAACCCCUACAAAUAAAAUCUUCCGCUAAAACAAAAAUUUUGACAGAAAUUUUACAUAUUAGACAAAUUGUUGGUAAAAGCCACGGUCAAAGAAAAUGAAAUACAACUUAAUUAUAUUUUGGAACGGAAUGAGUAUACAUUUUUUUAUGAAUGACGAACACAUAAUACAUCAUUUAUCUUUGGUAUGCAUUUAUAUAAUUCAUAUAGCACAACAAUUUACUUUAUUAGAUUCAUUAAAAGAACGUUUAGUCAAGAUUGUGAUGUACUGUCAAGAAGCUUGUCUUAACCAAUAACCAAUCAAAUUGUGCCCAUAAAAAAUAAAGAAAAAGGAAUAGCUUUUCUUAAACAAAUUUUGUUUUGCUAGCCAUGUUGUACUUAAGAAAACUAAUGACAAAUGUAGUAGGGUUUUUGUACAAAUUGCGUAGAACUCAACAAAAAUACAAUAGACUCCGUAAAAAGAUGUAGUAGAAUCACCUCAAAAUUGCAUUAAACAGAUAAAAAUAUAGUAGACCAAAACUAACAUAGAAUGUAAUACACGGUAGAUCAAAACAUAUUUAAAUGAGUCUCUAUGUCGUUGAAACAAACACAACAGUGAUAAUUAAUACACCGUUUCAGAGUACUCCCUCCGUCCGCUUUUAUGAGGCGUGAUUCAUUUUGCUAAUGGUUCACAAAUAUCAGGCGCAUAGUAAAGCCAUCCAAUUAAAAAAACAUGCAUGCAAAAGUGGUCCAAUCAAUAAAAAAAUAGGAGCUUUCCUUGAUACUAGUGAAAACACUAUUCAUGCCUGGUAUAGCCGGACGAAGGGAGUAGUAACUUUUAAUUUGAACUUUGAAAAACAGUGUCAAAGUACUGCCGGAGGAUGUUCAGAAAGUUAGCGUAGGAGGACAUUUGCGAUUUUAUAAACUGAAAUCGAGUCUCAGAUGGAGAUGGAAAAGGAUGGAAACUGAAAUUGAGUUUCGAUAAACUGAAAUUGAGUUACAAGAGAGAUCGAAGUGAUAUACAUGUGGAUCGAGUGCUUUAUGCAGUCUCUGCAGCCUUCUACUAGGCCUGAUUGCUUAUCAUCGAUCAUGGGGGCAGCUUUAAAAGUUUCAGAAACAUUGAAUCAGCUAGCUCCUCGAUCUUCCCCCAUGCUCCAUGCAGCUUUUACGUGCCACUAGAGUUAGUGCUACCAUAAAUGCUUUUAUGGGCCAUGUAUGCCACCUCUCUAUCGGUGUCCUUUUAGGAUGUACUGGACUGAUCAAUCACAUGCAAGCCUGACCUAAUUAUUCAGACACAAACUAAAUGCAUUAUACUCCUAUACUGCAAGGAAUUAAUUAAGAUUGGAUAGAUCUAACCCGAUUUUGCAGCCAUUUAGUAUAGCGCCGGCCUGCUGAUCCGGUCAAUAGCUUGCUGCUUAAUUAGCAUGCAUGGAUAACUAAAUAAGACCGUCAUGCAUGACAGCCAAUUAAAGUCUCCCCAUCAAGAACGGAAAGAUUGAAUUAAUUGGGUAAUUGAUAGAUCCGUCUUUUCUAGAAAAUUAUUCAUCAAUCGAUCUAGAAUGGCAAUACAUUUAUGCAUGGUCAACAAUAUAUAUGUAUCCAUGGACGCCAGGCUAGCUAUAUAUAUCCAAUGGACGCAUCAUGGAUGCCCAUAGCGUCCAUGCUCAUCAUGAAUAUCAUCAAUCAAAAUCUUCUGGGAAAGAUAUACAUGCCCAUAAUGUAUACUAAAUUUAUUCUAAGUCAAAAAUAAAUAAAUUUUGAUCAAGGUUAGGGAAAAUGUACUGGAUAUUUGGUAGACUGUUCUGUAUACAAUUACAAACUUGGUCAAACUGCAUUUUAUAAUUCCGAAGUGAGCGAGUACGGCUUGAAGCAGCAACAUGUAUGCUGAGGAGAUCUAGCUCUAGCUACUGGUAGCAGUUAUGUUUUGUCUGAAUUAGUGCGUGGUAGGGCUAGCGUAGCUGCUGCUGCACAUGAAAGCGUGAGGACAUUCAGGAGGAGUCUGCGGGCGUGCACAUGGAAUGGAAUUCAAUAAUAGCAAAAAAAAAUAAAAAAAAUGGAAUGGAUGAAGACGACACGUCGAUGUUAAAUGCUUUGGCCUACUUCAAGGAAGAAAUCAUCGCAUUUGGAAAGCUCCCAGGUUGGGUUUGGUUGUUGCAUUUUAUUUUUUGUUUUUUGUUUGGCAGAGCGAGAUCGAAGACGACAAAUUAAUGAAAUAAUCGAUCCAUCUACUAAGCCGGCCAGCUAAUUGUAAGCUCCUCUGUUGCUGAACUGAGAACAGAACAAGGCCACGUCCCCACAAGGCAGCGUACGUAGCGAGUGAGGCCACACAUCCUGUAAACGGAACGGAUUGAGAGGGUGAUUUGACAUUAACUGUCACGGAGUUAACAAUAGUUAAGACGCCGACGGUGGAUGUUGGUGGAUUUGUUGCUAGAUGCAUGAUCAGUCGGACAACAAAUUAAUUAAGAUCUGUUUAAUUACUCAGAAAACAAUGGGUGAUAGAUGGAGCAAAUUGGUGAAAGAUUACGAAUUAAGGAGAAACAUAGGAUAUGAACCAAACAUGCACGCAUGCAUGCAUGGCCUUGGCUAGCUCCGCAUCACCUGGACAGAGUGCUCAUUUGCUACUCCCUCCUAUCCAUAUAUCACUUGUCUCAAAUUUUCCAAAAUAUGAAUGUAUGUAUAUUUAAAAAGUGUCUAGAUAUAUGUAAUAUUUUGACAAGUAAUAUGGAUCGGAGGAAUACGUAAUUCUUUACUUCUUAUAAAGACCUGAGUGAGUGGUCUUCCGUUCACUUCACUAAAACACUAUUCCUUAUAUUGUUAGAAAAUGGAUGUAAUUGCGACCAUUCAACAUAGGUAUCACUAUUUUUUUUAACUAUAAUCGACUGGGUUGAUGUAUUUAUUUUGAGAUACGAAGCAGUUGUUAUUCAGCACAAAUUUUGAGAACAUAAGAGCAAGCGCGCAUUUAUUUUGCAAAAGAAAUAAAAAAAAUGAAGCAACGUACGUGCAUUUAGCUAAUUUAGGAUAGUAAAACUGGGCUCCCUAGAAGGCCUCUCAAGCCAUCAGGAAUUUUGGCCGUCAGAUCACAAAUCAGGUCGUUCUUGACCGUCCGAUGUAUCUGUCCGUCAAAAUGGACAAACUGUCCCGUGGAUGCUGCUCCGGUAAAAAAACGAAGGCUCCUCCUUGUUUCGGGUUCGUGGGUCCAUGGCAGACCCGUAAGCCCGUAUCCCUAUUCCCCUCCUCUCCCUCCUCGGCUCCCCUCCAUUGAGCUCGAGAGAAGAGAUAUUCGUUCGCCUCCCCUUCCGGGGGGUUCCACCGUCUCUCCCUGGCAGCAUCUCACGAGGAGUAUACUAUAGAUCAUGAAAGUGUAGAGCGGAGCAUAGAUGUUUGCAUUUUACCACCGGUGCAUUUAAAAUCCAGUCACACCAGUUUUUUUGUUAGUAAAUGCAUGGUUAAUUAGAGUUUGAUUCUCAACUUCAUUGCCCCUGUUCAUCCUUAUUAAGCUCUCAUUUUCACUGACCAUUACUCCCAUAGCCAGUCUAGCCUAUGAUCCCCAAACUCCCAAUGCCUAUAGCUAUAGGCUAUCGAUCACCAUGCUCCUUUCUUUCUUUUCUUUUUUCCCUUUUCUUUUCUUAUGUAGAUAUACUAUCACAUUUACUACUCUAAUUCCGCAAACUCAACAAAUUAAAAAUGUUAGUCGCAUGCUUUCACACUCAUCACAUUCAAUCCCUAAUGUGGGUGGUGAAGAGCGAGGCGGAGACGCCGUGGACGCGCCACGAUCGACCAUGCACUAAGUCGAAGAUGGUGUCAACACGUCAGGAUCGACCGCUAAGGCGGAGAUGCGGUCAACACGCCUCGACAACUAAGGUGGAGUUGUCAUCGAUGAAUGUUGGGGGAAAUAGCCGCGGAGAAACCGAGGAAGGAAUCCUUACGAGAACGUUUGGGGUUUAGGGUUGGACUGACUAGGGUGAAAUUGUUUCAAGAAAGGGAAGAGUUGUCAUUCGAUUGCACAUAGUUUGUUUGAUCGAUUGAUUAUAAUUACGAUUAGAGUUUAUCAUGGCUAGACUUAGAAGGUGUCCUGGACGCCAAACGAGACUAACCCUAGUAGUCUUGAAACACUUUCGACAACGUUGGGCUUCGACGCGGUCGGGGACCAACAAACUACUAAUAAGUUGGAGUUAUCUGGUCAAGAACUGUUUCUUUUCUGACGGAAAUCAACAGGAACACUGCUUAUAAUUGCAUCAAGAACUGUUAUUUAAAAAUCAGAUUUAUAAGAGAUAGCCACACCCAAAAUAUAUAAUUAACUAGCAAAAGAACCCGUGCGAUGCUACGGAACAACGGAGAGUGUAUCAAGCACGAGCCGGUGGAGGCGAAGUCUGGCCACUGAUUUUUCGAUUGGAUUGAUUUCCAUACUGAGAUUGAUACCGAGAUUUUUUGUUUGGGUUCGGAUUGAUUUCCAUACUGAGAUGGAUACGAAGAAUUUUGGAUUUCAUGCUAAGGAGAUUGAUUUAUUUUAGGACUGUUCGUAUUAUGUUGUGACAAAUUUGGACCGUACGAUAACUUUCGGUAAAUCUAAACCGUAAAAUUUCUGCUACUGAAAUCGUGAAUAAGGCGGGAGGGAAAGAAAAUAAGGGGCAGUGGCAUAUUGAUUGUAAUUUUAACGAAAUUGACCGACCAAUACCGACCAACGGCGCCCACCAUCACCACCGAUUCCAAUUUAAUAUAUUGUAAUAGUAAUAGAUGAUUAAGGGCAGAUGUAAUUUAGAAUCCCCUCACGGCCUUUUUGUUAGAGUUUGACUCUCAACUUCCAUGCCACUGUUCAUCUUAAAUGACUCUCAUUUUCAAUUACCAUUAGUUCCUUUCCAUAGCCUAUAGCAUAUGAUCCCCAAACUCCCAUGAGUACGUGUCUUAAUCGGGUUUCCACUGUCAGAAAAAAACUCCCGAUUAUUAAGACGGCACACAAAAAAACUGUUGUCGACACAGUAGAACUGAUUUUUGUUCUCUCCUGUGAACGGAUCGAGCUAGCUAGAGGGGGGAAUUAGUUUAAGGGGCCGCCGGCCGGUGGAUGGUACCAAAGCUUAAUGCGGUGGUUUUUGCUGGUUAGAUGAUCAUUCAAACAAAAUUAAGAUCGAUCCAAGCACGCAGAAAACGAUCGAUCGGUCGAUGAUAGAUGGACCAAAUCGGAUAAAUUAAUGCUCCCUCCGUCCAACAAAAGAUGUCUCAAUUUUGACUAAAUUUGAAUGCAUCUAUACACUAAAUCACAUCUAGAUACAUUAAAAAAUGACAAACUUGAGACAUCCUUUGUUGGACGGAGGAAAUAUUACGAAUUAAGGAGAAACAUUGCAUCCAUGGGCCUGACUAGCUCCACCUCACCUCGACGGAAAGAGUAGUGGAGCAUAAGUGUUUGCAUUUUACCCUUGUUCUUAUUCAUGUUUUGCAUUGGUAGUAUAAGUUUUCUUUGAUUUCCUUGCAUGUUUGGUCGAGGGAAAUCGUCUGCUUUUUAGUUAGAGAUCAAUCGACAUGCUUGGUCGUUGGAUCUUAAUCUAACGACAACAUGUGGGAGAGAAAGGAUUGGAGAUGGAGUUAGAUCGUAAUCAAUGGUACCGCUGCAUCAACUGAGAUUUAAGACUUUUAUUUAAAAAUCAGAUUUCUAAGACAUAGCCACACCCAAAAUUAAUAGAUAAUUAAUGAUUACGGACGGAUGUAAUUUAGAAUCCAUCCGCACCACCUUUUUGUUAGAGUUUGACUCUGAACUUCCAUGCCACCGUUCAUCCUAAAUGAACUCUCAUUUUCAAUGUCCAUUAGUUCCUUUCCAUAGUCUAUAGCCUAAUUCCCGCAAAUCAAACAAAUUAAAAAUGUUAGUCGCAUGCUUUCAUGCUCAUCACAUUCAAUCCAUUACAAUGUUGGUGGUUUACAUCGAAGCGGAGAUGCCAUUGACACGCCACAAUCAACCUUUAAGGCUGAGAUGCCGUCCAUCGAGACGCCACGAUCUACCACUAAGGCGGAGAGAGGCCGUCGACACGCCAUGAUUGACCACUAAGGCAAAGAUGCCGUCGACACGCCACGACCGACCACUAAGGCGGAGUUGUCAUUGUCGAAUGUUGGGAGCGACAGCCGCGGGGAACCGAGGAAAGAACCCUUACCGGAACGCUCGGGGGUUAGGGUUGGACCGACUAGUGUGAAACUAUUUCAAGAAAGGGAAGAGUUGUCGUUCGACUGCAUAAAGUUUGUUUGAUCGACCGUUAUGAUUUAUGAUUAGAGUUUAUCAUGACAAGUGACUAAUCCUAGUCUUGAAACAGUUUUGAGAAUGUUGGGCGUACACGCCGUCGGGGACCAACAAACUAAAUUAAGGUGGAGUUAUCUGCUCAAGAAAUGUUUCUUUUCUCAUGGAAAUCAACAGGAGCACUGCUUAUCUGUCAAAAAAAAGGAACACUGCUUAUAAUUGCAUCAAUAACUGUUUCUGAUUUUUUUUUGUCCCGUCGUCUCGACAGAAAAAGAUGAGAAUUUUUUAACGAGGGGGAAUUGUUAACCUCUGUUCUUCCGUCUCUACCACCGAACCAAACUGCUACCCGCGCCUCUCUCACCCAACCACAAUCCAUAAAUAACCUCCACCCCCUCCCCACCUCGCGCCCGUGCACGCCUGCCGCCUUCCUUCUUUUCCACCAAGAUUAAUCAAUCCGUCCAGGUGAGAUUCGAUUGAUGCCCCCCAAGAUUCGCCUUCUUCUUCUUCUUCUUCUUGGUCUCAUCGACUUCUUCUUCUUCUUCCUCUAGUUUAAUCGGCACUUCUUGUUCUUCUUGGGCACUGACAUUUUCUUUUCUUUUCUUUUCUUUCCCUUGGGCACCCGGUCUUGUUAACCUGUCUGUCGUCUUCAGUUGCAUUGGGAAGUCAGAUGGGAAUCUUGUCGCUCAUAACCGGCAAGCUGGGCGCCAGCGGGUUCGGCUCCGGGUCCACGGCGGAGCAGGUCACCGACGGCGUCGACGCCACCCGCCUCACCGUCAUCGUCACAGGUAACCAACAGCGCCGCCCGGAUUCACCCGCUCCCCCCACCCAGUAGUGAUGCAUUCAGCCUGAUUAGUAUGACCCCAUUAGUAUACCUACCGGUUAGAUUCUUGUUCAUCCAUGGAUGCCCUUAGCGUUCUUUUGUUCCAUGUUUCCCCCUUCUUCGCUGCCUGUGAUGGGGACGUGAGCUUUCAGCUCAGAGCUGGGCCGGGAUGUUUCUGGGUGUUUUGUCAUGUGGUGAUCUCUUUCCUGUUUGGGCACACCCGGACCCUGAAUUGACUGUUUGGUUUUGUGUUGUUGUCAGUUGUCACCAGCACAGCAGCAUAUUUGGUUCUUUCUACCUAUCAUGUUUACGUUGAUUUCUUCUAUAAAUGACAACCUGAUGGCUGUAAGGUUCAGUAACCAAAAGGCCUCCACUGAUUCAACUUCAACAAGUUGAUUGUUAGAUCUGUAUCACUGUGUGCAACUUAUCCUUCUUUAUUUAUGCGUGUGUAGUCGUGUAGACAGUUGGGGAGAUGGGUUUACAACUGGAUUUAUUGACGAUGUCGUAAUAUCCUUUCUUCUUGUGUAUAGUACUAAAUUAACUGCUAAACAUCUGUUGUUCCAACUGGUUUUACUACAAAAGUACUUAGUCCUUUGUUCAGAUGUAUGUUCUGUUCUGUUCUGAGCCGUAACUAAAAUCACCUUGUUAUGAUGAUCUGUCCUGCUCAACGUUCUUGGUUAGAUUCCUCCAAACUAUCAUGACCACAUAUGGUGGGAUAUGGUUUUUCUUUUUUACUUCUUGAUGAUCUGGGGUGGGGAAGUUGGAUAUUGCUUCCUUUUUUAUGUGGGGAAUGAGAGUAUGAAGCUUCAAUUUUCGGGGUCUUGUCUUUUGGGGACUCUUGUGUGGCCAUGAACCUAUUCUGAAUUGUUUGGUGUUAUCUGUUAGUUACCCUCUUUACAAGAACCAAUCAAAUGUCCAUAGCUGCUUUUGUUGAGAUGAAUAUUUUGUUCAACUGCAAGUAUAUAAUCAUACAAAUAUUUGUUCUUCUAUCCUUUCAUUGCACUAUACUAUUUUAAAGAUUUGGUGUUUACUAGUAAAGUUGAAAUUCGUACAAAUCUGUAAAAAUAUGUCCCCUUUUCUGGUUAGUUGUUAGACUAAUUUAGCAUUUAUUGAGAACUAAGUCUCGUUACAUGUUGAUGCUUGAUGGGUGCCUUUCCCUGAAAUCUAUGUAGAACAGCUUUUCCUAGAAGUUUAUUGUAACAAUUGUAAGUUCAGGAUCAAUGACUUAUUAAAUCUAUUGAAACAUACAACUAUGCAAGAGCUUCCAUUAGUGUGUGUUGGAAUAAUUAGCGGACACUUUUGGAUUUUGGCAAAUAUUGCUUAUUCAUAAAGGAUGGGUGUGGUGUGGGUUAUCCUCAUACGUAAUACUUGUGAUAAUUUGUUAAUUGGAAUUUACUAAUGCCGUCAGUACAUUGCAACCAAACCUGUCAUAAAAUGAACUAUAAAUUUAUUUGAGCCAAUUGUAGGUUUAUGUCACAACCAAUCCUUUUCGUAACAUGUUUCAAAGAUGUAUUCACAGUUUACUGAAAACCACAAUUCUGAUUUAUUUCAGGGGGGUCUAGUGGCAUUGGUCUAGAGACCUCGAGAGUCUUUGCCCUGAGAGGAGCCCAUGUCAUCAUUGCCGCUAGAAAUACGGAGGCUGCAUCAGAGGCAAGGAAGCGCAUCACAGAGGCAAAUCCAACAGCUCGUGUCGAUGUUCUGAAGCUUGACCUUAGCUCCCUCAAGUCUGUCAAGGCCUUCGCAGAGCAGUUCAACUCGAUGAAUCUUCCGCUGAACAUCUUGAUGUAACCCCCUUCAUCCCUUAUGAUACUUACUUUUGUUUGAUAUGUACACUGCUCCCGUUACAGUUAACUUUCUUUUCGGGGUAGCUGUAUAUCACGUCUAGUCUGUUGCAACACUGUCUACAUUUCACUGAAUUAAGCUGUCCAAAAUCGUUCUGUUCUGCAGAAACAAUGCAGGUGUCAUGUUCUGUCCUUUCCAACUGUCUGAAGAUGAGGUUGAGAUGCAGUUUGCCACCAAUCAUCUCGGUAUUGUCUGUCACUGCCAGCAACAGCUUACACGCUUUACUUGAAACAUGCUACAUCAAUGGAAGUUUUCCCGGUACUAAUGUUUGUUUCACAUGUCAUGCUCAAUCAGGUCACUUUCUACUGACCAACCUUCUCCUUGAUAAUAUGAAAGCCACUGCUAAGUCUACUGGUAUUGAGGGUCGCAUUGUGAACUUAUCAUCAGUUGCCCACCUCCAUACAUAUCCAAAGGGGAUUCAAUUUGAUGAACUCAAUGACAAGAAAAUGUAUGGAUUUAAAUGGUUCUUUAGAAGAAAAUCUGCUAUUGAUUGAACUGUUACUAAUGGUUUUGUAUUGGCAGAUACAAUGAUAAACUGGCCUAUGGGCAAUCUAAGCUUGCAAACAUACUGCACGCGAAAGAGCUCUCUAGACGGCUCAAGGUAUGAUUUAUUUAUUUCUCCAAAUUUUUCUUCCGUUUUCUUCAUUUGUUACUCAGAAGAAUAGAAAGAUGCAGUGCAUUUUGUCUUUUAGUGCCAUGAUGUUUUUUUACUAUUGUGAAGUGUGGGUCAUUAUAAGAAAGCAACCGCCGGUAAAAACUUUGUGAUUGAAUAACUUUGAGUUCUGAUACCCUCGAUAUGUAUCAGAUUGUCAGUAUUCCUUUCAUCAUAUGAUUUGACUUUCCAUCUUGUAAAACUGGCAUUGAUUAUUACUCUUAGACCUACUUCUGGUUAUGAAAUUCUUGCCCCCAGACCCCAGUUAAGUAUUCCAUCCUGAUGUGCCAUAACUUGUAUGCUGAUGCAACAGGAGGAAGGAGCUAACAUCACUGUUAAUUGUGUUCAUCCUGGAUUGAUCAUGACCAAUUUGAUGAGGCACUCCUUUGCUCUGAUGAGUAUGCUCUCAAGCUCUUGUGAAUUUGUUUCUCGAAUAUCAACUUUUACUGUUUUAGUUAUCUCUGCACCUGGUUAUGGAACUUGUGUGUUUUCACUUGCAGAGGCAAUUCGAGUCGUCACUUACAUGCUUUGGAAGAAUGUACCUCAGGUUCGUCUCUAUUCUUGGCUUUCACAAAAUUAUUACUCAAAACAAUCCCUGGAAGUACAGUAUAUUUUAAAAACACAAAACAAAUGACUGAAACUGUCACAGAUGCAAGUAAUGUAUUUUUAUCAUUGUAUAGUAUCUUCUGAAUUCAACUCUAUUUAAAAGAAGAUACUUUGUUUGUGGUUUUUCAGGGAGCUGCAACUACUUGCUACGUAGGGAUGAGCCCUCAACUGGCGGGAGUGUCAGGUAAAUACUUUGCUGACUGCAAUGAGGAGAAGACGAGCAAAAUGGCGAGGAGCGACGCCUUGGCGAAGCAACUCUGGGAAUUCAGCGAAGAGCUCAUCAGGUCUGCAAAAUGAGGAGCUGAAACCAAAGCUCCGAAAAAGGCGUCCAAGCACAGCUUAUGGUACAAAUGAUUGAUUAGUAUGCAGCAGCAGUAGUAGGAACCAGUAGGAACCCUCUCUCAUGGUGAACCAAUAUGGUUGUUCACGAAUAAAUUUUCACGCUUGUUUCGUCGGUUGGGUGUGUCGUGGCUAAGAUCAACCAUCUGUGCUCUUGUUAAUAUAUACAGUACUGUUUCUCCAAUACAUAUAUUUGCCAGCCUGUUCUCGAUCAAAACUAGAUGCUGAAACUAGUAUUUCUUCAACUUUCAGAAACCUUUGUAUUUUUGCCACUGAAAACAUACAUCAGAGACCGAGAAAAAGAAGAUCGUACACGAUGUUAUCAUUCAUAGGCUAGACUUGUCCAGCAUGGCCUUCUUGAUCGUCUUCGUCGUCCUCCUCCCAGACACCAACGGCGGUGGUGAAGCCGAGGGCGCUGGCAACGACAGUGAUGGCGAAGACGAGCGGGACCAGCACAUCCGGGAUGGCCCGGCCGAAGAGGGCCGCGGGCACGCAGACGGCGUCCCAUGGCGGCCCGUCGAGCGGCAGCCCGAUGCUUCCGCCGCCAUCGUCCAUGGGGCACGCUGCGGUGAGCGGCGCCCCCGGCGCGACGCCCCAGACAAAGGCGAGCUCCGGUGCGAAUGCCGCCACGGCCACGGCCAUGGUGGCCACCGCGGUCCACGUGGCCGCGUAGAGGAGCACCGGGCGGGGGGCUAGGAGGCUGGCCAGCGACGGGAAGGGGGACGCCAUUGCUGGUUGGUUGGUUCGGAGAAGAGCAGAGCUGCAGAGGAGGUGUAUAUGCAGCGGAGAGCAGGGAGUAGAGCUAGAGGAGUUGUUGGGUUUGUGUUUUGGGUGGAAGAAGAGGAUUUGGCGCGAGAGUAGUUGGACCUGCGGCACUUGGUUGAGCCUCAGCUACUCUCCCUGGACUGUUUGGGCCUUUAACUGGAGCCUAUUCGUAUUUACUUGUCAAUUUUGUUUGGGCCUUUAAUUGGAGCCGGCCCAAUAAGCUCAUUCCCCCUGUUCCCUGACCUCUGUAGUCUGCAGUCUGUAGCCACCGAUCGAAUCCCCCGUGCAAGUGCUCCUGCUCCCGCCGCCGCCGGAAUCCACGACCGGCAAGGCGGCACCGACGAGGGGGACGUUUUUGUGGUCCUCUGUCCAGCAAGGGAGCCGGUUGGCCUCUUGUACGCGCGUCCGGUGUGCUCUGCGUGCCCACCCUCCGGCACGAUGCCGCCGGCGCCGGCGUACGCGGUCCUCGCCGCCGCCUUCAGGACCAAAAAGCCCCUCUUUGGUACGCAUCAUCUCCACCCUCUUCGUCUUCGUAUUUCCUUGCUGUCUGAUUAGCGACACUCUCCUAGUCUCCUCUUCGAACGAGCCGCACAUUACGCCCCUGUCCAUUAAGCCCAUCAUCUCGCACUUCCAUCUCAGCUUCUUCACCCGAUUCGAUUUCCAUACGUAACACCAGGAAACUUAGUGUCGUGCUCUGAGAUUUCGAAGUAGAUAUGCUAACUUGAACAUUGCUCAUGUGCAGUUCCUAGGUGGUUCGGCGGUCUUGGUUCGUGCACGUCAACUGUUUGGCGGAAUGCGUCAGAGGUGCUUCCUGACGCAGCCUUGCCUCCACGCUUUUGCCCAACUGUUGUUCCAAGAGGAUAUGUUCUCGGAGCACCGAGGCUUUGCCAUACCAGCGCUUCGGAGGAUUCUCGGGAUGUCUGCAUUGAUCAAGUUCUGAGGAUUCUCAAGUCCAGCGACGGCGAUACUGACCUUGGCAAAGCUCUCCAUCGGUUUGCCGGUGAGAUGGAUGAGGAUGUUGUUCUGAGAGUCCUACAGAAGCAGCGGUCGAAUUGGCAGGUUGCGCUGUUGUUUUUCAAUUGGGCUGCCGGGCUGCCUGCGUAUGCCCAUGGUCCAAGGACCUACACUGAGAUGCUCGACAUCCUUGGGCGAAUGAAGAAGGUCAAGCUGAUGACACAGCUCUUUGACGAGAUCCCUGAAGAGCGGCGGGGAUUGGUCGUGACGAACCGGACGUUUGCUGUCCUGUUGAACCGGUAUGCAGGGGCGCACAAGGUGCAAGAAGCAAUCGAGAUGUUCUACAAGAGGAAGGAUUAUGGAUUUGAGGUCGACUUAGUUGGCUUCCAGAUACUUCUGAUGUCGCUUUGUCGGUACAAGCAUGUCGAGGAGGCAGAGGCCCUCUUUCUCCAAAAGAAAGAUGAGUUCCCUCCUGUCAUAAAGAGCUGGAAUAUUAUUCUUAAUGGCUGGUGUGUCAAGGGAAGCCUGCCUGAUGCUAAAAGAAUUUGGAACCAGAUCAUUGCAUCUAAGCUUAAGCCGGACCUGUUCACCUAUGGUACAUUCAUAAAUUCACUGACCAAAGCAGGUAAACUUAGCACGGCGGUGAAACUGUUUACAAGCAUGUGGGAGAAAGGAAUAAAUCCUGAUGUGGCGAUUUGCAACUGUAUUAUUGAUCAAUUGUGCUUCAAGAAAAAGAUUCCAGAAGCACUUGAUAUUUUCCGUGAGAUGACUGACCGUGGUUGUCAAGCAGAUGUGGCUACCUACAACACUUUGAUAAAAUACUUCUGUAAGAUUAGGCGGACAGAGAAAGUGUAUGAGCUUUUGGAUGAUAUGGAGAACAAGGGCUGCUCUCCGAACAAUAUGACAUACUCCUACAUUCUGAAGACUACUGAGAAACCCAAAGAUGUUAUUCAUUUGCUUCAGAGAAUGGAGAAAUCAGGUUGUCGGUUAGACUCUGACACAUAUAACUUAAUAUUGAACCUGUAUGUCAGUAUGAAAUAUGAAAACGGAGUACAACAAGUAUGGGAUGAGAUGGAGAGGAAUGGAUCAGGUCCAGAUCAGCGAUCAUUUACCAUUAUGGUUCAUGGACUUCACUCCCAGGGAAGGCUGGAUCAGGCCUUGCAAUAUUACACAACAAUGAAAUCCAGAGGGAUGACACCCGAACCAAGAACAAGGAUAUUGGUGAAAGCAAUACAUAUGAAGAAAGAUGGACCUGCUGUAGAAGAUCAGUCUCCAAGCAUGGUAGGGGAGAAUCUAAAACUGGAUCCACUAUCAGGACUAUUCCGAGUUCGUAAAUAGUUCAUCUGCAGAUUCUGCUGCUGUAAUCUUAGCUAUUGGUCUGGGCACAUGGGUUCUUAGGGAUGAGAAAAUCUAGGCUAUGAGUGGCCAGGUCAUCAUGCCCACCUCUUGGGCUGAAAGAAAUUCAGAAGAAAAGAGUCAUUGACAAUAAUGGUGUCCAAAGUUCUUUGAAUUGAGCAGGAUAUGUUUUGGAUGUAUUGGGUGAUUCAACUGCAGGUACUUGUUUAGAUGCUUGUAUUCUGGUGUAUUUGUGAAAUACUUGCAUCUUCUUUUGUUCCUCUGUUAUAUACGUACUGAAAUAUGAACAAAUAAACCAUGGCUAAAAGAACUCCAACUUAAUUUUAGAGUUUGAAUAGUUCUAUUAAUACCACUGAUUUUGCAUGGCGAACAAUUACCAAUUGAACUAAUGAUACAACCUAGUUGUCAGUUUAAUCUACUCUUGACAUUUGUCUGCUAAAAUUACGCCACCUUUUGUAGUUUUGUUUCUGCUGAAUUUAUAGCUUGACCAAUGAAUGGCUACUCAGGAACUGAUCAUAUCUAUUCAGAACCACAAUUGCAUUUAGCAACUUUCACACUAUCUGAUAAGCAAUUGCUUUGUUUUCCCAUUGUUGCUACUGAACUACACUACGUUCUUGUUACCUGUUUUCCUUGUACUGUUUGAUUCUGCAAAGUUCUUAUGCGAGAGAAGUACUUGAUCAAAGAGAAUAAUUGCCGUGUAUAAAACUUUGAAGAGUUGAGUUCAUGAGAACGGAAUCAGGGAUCAUUUCGAUAAACAAAUGGUACUGAUGAAGAGAGGAUCACUGACUAUAUACUUUUCCUAGGUGGUUCAGGUUUCUAAAGUACUAGAGCUAUUUAUAUAUUGUGUUCUUGAAAAGUGAAAGUUUGUGUUUAUUUUGUGGGUGGAAGUUAAUAUCAUCACACCAACUUGUGGCUGUUUAGAAGGCGACUAACUUGUGAUUAAUUAAUUCACUUUUUCUUAUGAAGGAAAACAGCAUGUCUGCUGAUUGCUUAACUUAGGGAACCAAAAGCAAUGAUAUAAAUAGCUGUGCACUUUUUUAUUCGGUAAAAUAUAUGUUCAUCAUUUAGAAGCCUAAAUGAGGCAAAGAAGCUCGCUAAGUUUGUAUAUUCAAGAAAUGACUUGAGUUAUUAGAUCAAAUGUCAACCUCCAACUGUAAAAUCUUCAAAAACCAAAUUCUUUUCGAGGAAGCUUCAAUAUACAAUUUGCUUGGAAAAGGAAGCUGUGGUGGGGUUUAUAAGCACUUUACAUUAUGAGGAUACUGCUACGGCUGUGAAGGGCUUUUAAUAUAUGACAGUCUGGAUCUACUAGAAAUUCUGUGAGAACUGCGCUUUAUCUCUGUCUCAUUCAAGAUUGUCACCUGUUACAUCAAUGAUGGUCAAGAAUUCUAAACAGGUUUCAUGACUACUAAUUUAGGCUAGUCAGGACCUUCUUCAAAACCACUGCUAGCCACCAUUAGUUCAUUGUGAUCUCAAGCCAGGUAACAUCGAUCCUUCUUGAAGAAGAUAUGAGCUCCCGAGUUGGAGUUUUUGGCAUAUAGAGAAUCCUUCCUGAUAACACAAGCAAAACUUUGUUGUGCUCAGUCAGCUUCAAUUUAGUAAGGGGUUAUGUUGGUCGUGUCACUCUGGGUAACAGAAAUUCCUACUUGUCACUCAUGAUGGUCCCUUGUAUUUUUAACAUCUCUCUGUUUAAAAAGUCAUUUAUCAUGUAUAUCUUUUCUGUUGGGUUUACAGAUCAGCCAACAAGUGGCUACAUAUUUAGGAGCUCAUCAUAUCUUGUUGAGAACCGGAGUGGUGGCUGUCCACUUUCACACUGCUAAUGCUGUCUCUUAGGUAAGCUGUAGGCCUACAGCUGACACUUAACUGCUCAUCCCUGCUUUUCUCUGUUCUUACUUAUUCUUUGGCUUCAUGAAAGGUAAAAUAGUUCUACGGAACAGGUAACUACUUUUAUCUGCUGACACUUGUCUAGCUAAAAUCAAAUUCUGUGUAACCUGGAGUAGCAUUUUUUUUCCAGCCAUGCAAACCUACCGUAGCAUGUCUCUAGGAGAUCAUGACAUGCUUCCCUCCGAUGACUCCUGUAGAAUUCACUUGACAAGGAAAUGGGUUCCAUGGCUAAUUUUAUUCUUCCUGAGGAUUCAGUGUUUCACAUAGCUACCUAGAAAUUUGGUCAAAAUGGUGAAAGAAAAUAUGCAUACAGCCCAUUUAGUGCCAUUGAGAGAGAGAGAGAACAUAAGAACAUAGUUUUCUCAGAGAUCUGCAAUUAAUUGAUUAAUGUUUCUGAGUACACUUGUGUGCUGGAUUGAUCUAUUAAUUGCAGCUCACACUAGUUAGUUUCCCCUAAAAUUAGGUGGAGCCCAAACGCCAUUCUCAUUGGUGACGUAGGAGGUGCAUGAAAGAGGCACCAAGCACAGCCCUCUACUGCGAAGAUCAAGCUUUGCUUCCUCCUUUUGAUCUCCGGUGUUAGAUGGCCCCUGUAAACACAAACCGACGGAGUAUAAAUUUAUACUAUGAUUAAUUAUUAACAAAGUUCAAAUUUCUUCUUCCAAAACGACAGAGAUCUAAAGCUCAUAAAUAUAAAUGUAGGUACCCGUUGUUGUGUUGUCCUGGCUUUCUUAUGUUUGGACGAUUUCAUGUAGGGUCCGCUUAAAGUCUGCAUUACAUAUGCAAUAGUCAAUGAAUCAAGUAAACGAUGGUCAGGGUGAGUACUGUAUGUAUGUUAAGAUAUAGUAUAUGCAUGUGUUAAUUAGUUUUAAAAAAUUGCUCUCUAUUGACUAAAAGAAUAUUUGUUAACACUACCUCAACCUGGUCUUGAAGAAAAUUGAUGUACCCAAUGGCCUCCAUGAGUACUGAUGCAGUAUCAGUCUGCCACACAGUUAGGAAGAUGUACAUGUGAGGAUGGAAUAAAAUACAAGAGGUAAGUUUAAUUCACCAAAUAUAUUUAUUUUUCGUAUUUAUAUGCUAUAAAUGAUAUUUUGGUGCCCACCUCAAAGAGUGAGUGCAACAACAUAAAAGGAUGAAGUGCAUUUGCAUGUGAUACAUAUGUUGCAUGCCGCGCCUUUAGCUAGAUUUGGUUCAUAUGCAUAUAUACCAUUGUCAUUAACAAAACUAAGUGCACCGAAUACUAAACCAUCAAAUGAUGGAGACAUGCGUGUAUGCUGGGUUGUACAUGAACAUGAACAAAAAUGCAUGUAGUAAUAUUUUGGUGAGGGUUAGAGCAUAAAUUGUCUAUAUCUUAACUUAAUCUGUUCUUAUUUUUUUCCCUGUAAUUAUAAGCUAAGUAGCUUGUUACGUGCCGUGCGAACGUACCUUGCCAAAGGGUGAGACCAGUUGCUGGAGAGCAGCAAUUCUAUCUCCUAACUUCUCUUUCCUUACCUAAUUAAUGAAAAAGGACAAGACACAUGCAUUCAGGCAAAUUAAAGCUCGAUCAUGCAUGACUCAUUAAUUAAUUAACCAGCAAGCAAAUAAACACAUGAGCAGUAGUGCAUUACUAGUGAUCAGUACUACUGACACAAUGCUAGGGAAGUAGGGAUUAUGGUCACAUUAAUUUAUUUGGGAGUACUGCUGCUAAAGGAGUAUAUUUAAUUACCUUGAAAGAAGGAAUUAUGGUGGUGGAGGGUCUUAGCCUAGUACUCUUCUUCUUGGACGAUAUCGAUGAUACUGCAGCAGCUAAUUGCAAUUGCUGCUCAUCAUGACAUGAUGAUACAUUUCCAUUUCCACUCAAUAAAGCAGCUGGCACAGUACCCAUCUACAUACACCACACAUUUCAUCUCCAAAUUAGCGAUUAAUAAAUUUUCUCAAUUGCAGAGCUGAACCCAGUGGUGUAUAAAUACAAUUCAAUUAUCAACAUUGCAGAGUAACUAACUAUAAAUCACCAACAGUCAUUAAUUAAGAGGCCGGGGGCAUGUAAAUAGUACUUCUGGGCUGAAAAGAAGACGCAUGUCACUCAUUCAUCUCGGUCCUAAAGCUGCUGCAUCAUGCAUGCAGAUCAAAAGGCUGCAUGCAUAUGCAUAGUUGUACUCUACUCCUCAUCUUACAAAUGCACCAGCCGGGCCUAGCUUGCUUGCACAGAGAAACUAAUUAAAUAAUUAAGCAGAUGGACCCAAAUAAUUCACUUUUAAUUAUUUAGUCCCCAGCUAGAGUAGUUAGUUCGAUUCGAUCUACAGUUCUCUGCCUCGUUAAUUCUAAAAUUACCCAUCCUAGCUAUGAACUAAAUAGUUAUCCAUAUGGAGAUAAUUAAACUACGAAAAAAGACACUGCAUGUGUACUGACCUUGUAGCUGGACGAUGGCCCUUGAAGAAGACGGUGAUGAUGAGCAGGAGGGCCAUAGUCAUAGGCCAUAUGCUCUGAUCCCAACAAUCGCGUCCCAGAAGUAGGCAUCAUUGCCAGCUGCCCGCUCUUGCAAAGCAUCUCAAACGCCUCUCCGCCGACCACCGGGCACGGCUUCUGCAUCAGCGAGACAUUGAAGCUCGGGAGCACGACGGCGCCGCCACCACCGUGGUCAACGACGAUGUCGUUGUAAUCAACGGUCAUCGGCGAAGAUCUAUGCCGGCAGCUAUUAAUAAGGGAUCCAACAGAUGCUAGCUUGGGCGCCUCCUCCUGAUCAUCGUCUUUGAGUACUGCAUCUUGAUGCUGCUGGCUGCUGCUGCUUGUGUCUGCCGUCGUCUCUGUGACGGCGCUGCUCCAUUGGAACCCUAGCUCUUGCAUCAUCAGCAGUGAGCUGAGCUGAUGAGGAGCUACUGCUGCUGUUAAUGGAGAAGCAGCAGCAGGAAGAUGGCUAUGGCUAUGGUUAUGGUGGAGCUGGGCUUGUGCUGACUGCAGGAGUAGCUCAAGCUCAUCUGGACUCAACUGGUCACUGCAAACAAGAGUCCAGUUAAUUAUAUAUUCAAACAUUAAUUUGUUUCUUCCAUUCCUGUCUCUAAAUUUGUCAUUUUGCUGUGCUACAAUUCCCAAUGCAAUAUUGCACGUACGCACGGGGACAAACCAGGAGGUAUAUGGCAAACAAGCACCAAGAAAACUCCAAAUCCUAGGACUCAUGCAAAUCAAACGCUGCCAACAACACUUGCACUUGAUUUUUUCCCUUUGAAAAUUUGGAAGGUUUGUUUUCUAGCUAUUUAUACCUAUUUAUUGCAAGAAGGACGCAUCAUUUUAUAUUUGAAAAAGAGAGAGUGAAAAGUAGAAGAAGAGAUGGAAUGAACAGCAUGAAAAUGAAAGUCAAUUGAAUUGAAAAGGGUGCUUACAGUAUUAGGGGUUGGUUCCAUUGUUGGUGGGUGCCUCCAAUGGCGUGCUGAAGAGCUGGAGCAAGUGGUAGGGAAGAAGAAGGAGGCCGCCAUGGGAGAUCACCUUGCAAGAUCAGGUGAUGAUGAUCUGCAGCACUGAGGUCGGAGGAGGAAGAAGAGGAUGCCAUCAUGGUGUUGCUUUGCUAGUAAAAGCUAGCUAGGGAUAUCUCUUGAUGCUUUGCUACUUCCAAGAUGGGAACUUAGAAAUGGUCAGCCUAGCUAGCCUACUUAAUCUGCUCUCUCACUCGCUCUGAGCUUUCUCAAGAUCACACACACAUGUACACCCUCCAAUGGAGAACUAUAAUAGUACACUGUUGAGUUUGAAAUAUGGAGAUGCCCAUCAGCAGCUUUCCUCUCUCUCACAAGGCUUUCACCCUUUUUUUUAUCUUGGGUAACUUUUCUCUUUCUUCCUCCUUUCAAGGCAUCAAACCAAGAAAAAGUCUCUUUCUCUCUCUUCUCUCUCCUCUGCCAAUUACAGGUGAAUCAUUAUAACAUUUCUGCUAGGAUCAUAGGAUCUAUGCCUUUAGAUCCCAGAGCAAAAGCUCCAACACAAAGAGACAGUCUUUCUUUCCUUUGGGUGUAUUAUUACCCAUAAGGCAUGCAGAUGCAGGUAUAGGCAGUGUGUCAGCCUGCCACUAGUACACACGUGGUACAAAAUUGUUCUCCUCAAAAGAAAACGGGUGGAGGAAACUGCCAAAGCAAUGUCAAUUAUCUGUCUUGAAAUCUCUAUAACUUGCAUGUAUUUGUCCAUAUAUAUGUGCGCAUGACAGGUUGAUGUGUAGAUGUCAAAUCAUGUUGCAACUGUGUGGAAGUAGAAAAGGUCCUAAGCAGAGAACUAACCAUAUAUGUGAGAGUAGCUAGCUUGGUAGGUUAAUUCGAUCAGAACUUAAUUCCUCCUGGAAGAGGCCAAAUGGCUCAUGAGGGCAUAUGCUCCCGUGAUAAACAAUAACUCCGAAAAAAUGCUUAGGAAUGUAUAAAAAGCAACGACAAAGAAAUAUUCAAGUUUUCUACCUACUUUGAAAUUUAUAUGAAACCCUUUUAUGACCUGGAUAACAUGUAAAAAAUAUCUGCGCCCUAGAAAUCAAACUUUAUAGGCACUAAUUAUUUUUUGUAACAAGGAACGUGUGAUAUUUUUAAUUUUAUCGAUGCAUGGAACCCUACAAGAACAUUGAGUAUACGGCGUUUAUAUCUGUACACAAUUUUUUAUAAUUUUUACAGUAGAAAUAUACUAGUACUAUUUUUUUCCAUCGGCCUUUAGCUAGAUGCAACCUUCGCUUGGGUUAUGCUACGUUCUUCCUCCGGCAUCUCCUCCUAUAUAUAUUAGUUGGAAGCUUAAGCUUAAAAUAUGACAUAGAAGUGUUGGACCAUAAGUUUCUUUUGUUAGAACUUUAUACAAGCCAUAAGCAUGUUGGGAGGUAAUUAAAAAAUUAGUUGUCCUGAAAUCAUGGCAGUGAUUCUCACCUCCUUUCCUAAUUUCUUUUCACGAGCAAGAGAGAAAGGGACCAUCCAUACAGCAGUGCAGGAUAGAUCCCUUUCCCCGAGGGAAGGCAGCUCAUACUGGUACUACUACCUCCGUCCAACAAUAUGAAGCAUAUUAGGCUUCGGUUGAUCAAACGUUUGACCACAAAUUACUUCAUGAAUAUGUGAUUAAUGUGAUCAAAAUCAUAACCAUAAGCAAAUAUCUUUUAGUAGGAAUAUAAUGCAUAUGAAUUUAUGUCAUAUAAUUAUAUAUUAAUAAAAUAAUUUGUGAUCAAAACAUUAAUGAACGAAAAGCUAAUACGCAACCUAUUGUUGAGCGGAGAUAGUACGUAACAACUUUGUGGCCGGCCUUGGUAAUUGUGAUGCAUGAUUCCAUGGCAGCAAAGGGUGCAAAAAAGUUGGUGUCUCCUGGGCCUUUUGUCCAGUAGCUUAGCUUAGCUGGUUCUCUCUUCCUCCGAGAACAAAAUUGGAGAAUGCCCCAACUUGACGCAGAGAACUGCCUGUCCUACAAGAACCCCAGGAAAAAUGGGCAAGAAAAAUUAAUAUAUAAGACAGGACUGAUCCAUCCAUCCAUCAAAUGAGAUGAGACCCAGGCGCCAUAGUUGCUAGCCCCACAUCCAUUCAUGUCAUGUCAGUGUGAGGAAAUUUAUAAAGUUAGGACUGGGGAUAUUUGUACACUGUGUGAUGAGGAGGGUUGCAUGCACAGUUAUGGGCAAAAUGCUAUUGCCUUUUGGCUCAGUCAUGUAUAGUAGUACUAGCUAGGAACCUACUUUCCACGUGAUGCAUGUGUGUACGUACAUGGUAGACAUAUAUAUUAGGCUUCUUCAAAAUUCCUGUAUACUCACAGCUAGAUCGAUCCUAGCUAGCUAGUACUGACAUGAUAUUUGCAACAUGGAAUUGCCCUAGCCUUGUUGCAUGCAUACAGAUGAUCGACAAGAAACAUAUCAAUCAAAUACUCCCUUCAUCUAACAUUAAGUGAUUCAAACUUGUCUAAAUAUGAACUAAAAUAUAUCUAGAUAUAUGUAAUAGAAAGUUAUUUAAUAUAGGACAGAGGAGUACAUAUUUUGCAGUACGUAAUAUAUGGAUGGGUCCUUACCUUUUUUUUCUUCAUUGUACGUACAUCUGAGUUUACGAGUCUUUCUCCGGCACACAUUAUCAGAUGAGUGGACGGAUAACAUCACAUCAGUAUCAAAAGGAGAGAACAGCUGAGAGAGAAGAAAGACAUAGGGAGAAAGAAAAGAAAGCACAAAUGCAUAUGCAAGCUGUGCUUAUAUCAGGGCUUUAAGCGCGCGGAUCGAUCUGAGUUCUUUUCAAAAAAGGGCAUGCAUAUCGACCGAUCCAUGUCUUGAUUGAUUAAACGGUUAAACGUACCAAUGGUAUGGCCUAAAGCAAACAUUUUUGCUGCCAUCAUUGUAAGCUUUUAGACGGCCUUCCGAUCGAAUCAUCAUGGCCUAAUCAUCUAUAUACCAUGUUUCUUUUUUUUUUCUUUCUUACUUUGCUUUCUUGAUCUCAAAAAUGUGUGUACGUGUAUGCAUGUGGUGAUGUGGUCAGACCCGGCCGGCCAGCUGGUUGUGUGGAAAUUCAUUUAUCAAGUAAGAGCAUCACCAGAUUGCACUGAUAGAGAUUGAUACAACCACUUACAGUACUAGAGAUAUGAUAUUUACUCGCUCCUUUCUAAAUUAAAUACAAGGCACACCAUUUGUACGUGCAAUCAACACUCUAAAUCUAGCUUGGACCUCAUCAAAAUUAUGUUUCAGUCUCCAAAUUGCCAUGUUUCAUUUCUAUUCCAAAUGGUGACAUGAAUAAAUCCACCGAACAAAACAUACAGGAGUACAAUAUUAAUUUGUAUACUCCCUCCGUCACAUAUUAAGUGACUCAAAUUUAAUCAAAUAUGGAUGUAUCUAUAUCUAAAACGCGUCCAGAUACAUGUAAUAAAAAGUCAGGCCACGGAGGGAGUAACUUCUUAGACUCGUUAAUUAGAUCGAAUCCUCUCUCCCAUGCAUGAAUGCUCAAUAGGCUCAGCCUUCCAGGUAUGAUAUGAGAUCUAGUCUAUCUCCAAGACAUAUCAAAUUAACUAAUACAUGCAUGUAUGAUCAGACUGAUUACAUAUAUAAGCAUAGAAGUACAUAAACGGAAGUACGGAUGGAUCAAGGAAUAUAUAUAAAUAUAAGUUAAAGGUUAAUGUAGGGGAACAAACGCCCAUUCAUGGAACGACCCUGAGGAUUACACAAAGAAACACAUGCACGUUGUACGAUCCUUUUCUCACUUUAAACGGCAGCAGUACAAUUUUUGUGUUCCCCGUGUUAACUUAACAUGCAUGCAAAGCAAUGCAAGAUCCAUACCUUAAGUAUGGAUCGAUUCUGUAGGUAGUUAAGAAAUGGUGUUUGCCCAUGCCUAUUGCUAUCAAGGAAAAGGGUCCAGCUUUCUCUUCUUGUGUUGCGCUAAAGGUGAUUGAGAACAAGACAAGAAGGGAAUAUAUGCUUUUGCUUACAACGCUAGGCUCACUCCCGGCUGCCCGCAUGUACAGUACUCUGCACGUACUCCUAAUCAAUAUCACACUUGCAUUUUAAAACAUUUGCUUUGAAAAUUUAAUUAUUUCCAAAAAUAUAAGAUAUACGGAGUUCGUUAGAACACAAUUGAAAAUUUAAUUAUUUCCAAAAACAUGUAUUUUUUACAUGUAUACAUAAUACUCGGCCAUCUAUCUGUCUGAUUUUUUCAGAUAUUUUGGGCUGCUCACAGGCCGAGCUCACUUGAACUAUGUAUAUGUGUAUAACCUUUCCUUUUUCUUCCCUAGAUACAACCUCCAUGAUCUGAGCCUUGACGGUGUGCUGACUACAUCUUUUCUAUAUAUGCAUACACAUUAACUUAAAAUUUUAGUGAAAGUCGAACAAUUAGUAUAUACUAGACAUGAUGAUGUACGUAGCAUGUGUCUUGUCAGCUAGCCAAUACCACCUUACAUACUUCGAUCUCGAUUGUUGGCAUGUAAAUUACUAGUCGAGGACAUGAUUGAGAUCAGCAUGAGCUUACAUGUCACUUUUCUUCUUGACCAACUCUAACACCAGGAGGUGUAUGUGCGUGUUGUAAUCGUCUGUGUUUGUACUGUUGUGUUUAAAAAAAAAAUCGAAAAGGGAGCAUUUGAGUUGGUCAUUGGCCGUGUGCCCAUAGUAAAUAGUGCCUAGUAGGGCCGUACGUGCAUGAUCGAUGCAAACGGCAUCUCGUCGUGGGUCCCAGACGAGUCCCCUCGUUCGCUUAGCUAGCUUGCAUUGCAUCGACGGAGAGCCAUGAAGGUGGCCGGCGAAAGGAGAGAUGCAGGCCGGCCUGGAGACAAAUUAACCGGCCUCCGUCGAUCGAUCACGUCCCGGCCCCCAUGUUUGUUGUGUCCACCUUUUCUUUCUCACACACAUAUCUGCAUAUAUGUGCAGGUCGUCUACUCCAUGCUUUUCAGCAGCAUUUUCUUGCAGGUGAUGACAUGGACGUGCAUUGGGGUCCCACCCCGACGUACGUGCAUGCCCACACAUGCAUGGAUACAUGCAUACACUACAUACUCGUAGUAGUACAUUGCUGUCAUUGGGACCCACAUGCAGGUACGUGUAUAGUAAGUAGUGUAUAUCAGAAAGCCGGCCUGCCUGUGUACGCGUUCGUACGACACAGAGAGAGAGAGAUAUGGAUCCAUAAAAAGGAGAGACUUUCUGCAUGCAUACGUACUCCACUUGUACGAAGCUAGUGCUGAUUCAGUUGUAGCAAUAACAGGAAGGAGGACAAAACCAUAUUCAGCUAGCUUUGCAGCAGCUCAAUUAAUUAAUCAGGGCUAGCUACGCAGGCUCUACCUAGCUCUAGUACAAGUACAACUAUAUGCGAAGAUGCUCAUCUCACCUGUAGCUUGCUAAUUAUUAGCUAUUGCUGGCUCAAUUAGUUCAUCUUUUCUACUCCCUCUUAUCCUAAAUUCUUGUUCACAUAUGGAUGUAUCUAUUCUUAAAAAAUUUCUAAAUACAUAUAAUAUUUCGACAAUAAUUUAGGAUCGGAGACAGGAUUUACGAUUUGAGAUGAAAGGUUUUUUUUAAAAAAUAGUGGAAUUGAAACGAAAGGUUUGAUUUGACAUAUGCGGAGAUCCAUGGGCUUAAUUGGAGGCAUUAAUUACAUGGGCCUUGUGCAACACAAGCGAGAAAGAAACUGUCACGCUAUCGGGCUGCAAAAACAUCCCCAAGGCCCAGGCCCGACAAACUUUGACGAGCAUGCAUCCUCCCACCAGGAAAAAACAAAUCCCUAUAUGCACUCGACCUGACACCUAAGAUGUUUGGGAUGUACAGGUGACACCGUCAUUGACCGUGUUAUUCAUUCUUUUGCUCAGUCUUUCGUUUAUUGAUCACACUAUUACUGGUAGAGAGAGAAAUAAUUUCCAGUUGAUGUGAACUUUCUUUCACCGACGAUACAUACACUACUGGUUCAUAUGCUCUCUCUAUAUACACUUGAAGAUUGAUCAAGGUAAGAUCUACACUCGAUAAUUUAGUUCACUAUUUCACAUCAUACUAAUCUCAUAGUACUAAUCUAAUAGUUGAUCAAAGUGUGACACGAGUACAUAAUAACCCUGUUUUGAUAUACUUGUCAUGUCUAAAUGUUCGCUUGUUGAUAAUUAAGUGGGCAGCAACUUACAUUUCUACUGAGAAUAUCCUCGUCUGAAUGUUGUAAGAUCAAUUUCGGCGGUGUAGUGAGCAUGUUGUCAGUACGGGUGUCCAUAUUCAUUCAUAUUAACUCACCAAUAUUUAGGAUGGUAGUAUAUGUACUGUGUUACAACUGCUUGCUUUGAUAGAUGUUUAUUCUUUUUGUAACCAGGAGAGUCUUUUCUUGCGUUUUCACUCGUGCAUGGUUGUUCAAAGAACGGUCCCAAAUCAUCGCACCAAAGAGUGGAAUUAUAGACGUUUCCUAAAUAAAUGCCCAUAUCUAACACACUUCAAAAAACGAAAAUAAUAAUAAUAGUACUGUAGUACACUCUUAAUUAACCCCAUUCAACCCGGGAAUUUCCUUUAAUCAAUCAAUCAAUCAUAGCAUUAAACUAAUGCAAAUGAAGAAAUUUCCCAAGGCAAUCAGGAUCAUAUCAACUCUCCAUUCUCCACUAAGCAUACUAUUAGCAGGUACUACUACUCCGUAUAUAUAAGCAGAACAGAGCAGAGAGGCCAUGGCAAACAACACAAACAGAAACUGAAAACAGAAAACAGAAAACAGAGAACCUUCGUUCGCCCAAGCCAUGGCCAUGGACUCGGAGCUCGAGAUCCCGGGCGACUGCGAGUACCUCGGCCCUCCAGACCUCAUCCCACCCAACGGCCCAACUCCCCGCCACACGCUCUACCUCUCGAACCUCGACGACCAGCGGUUCCUCCGCUUCUCCAUCAAGUACCUCUACGUCUUCCCCGCCUCCGGCGCCAUCCCAAUCCCCACUCUCAAGGCGGCGCUGGCGGCGGCGCUCGUGGAGUACUACCCGCUCGCCGGACGGCUGAAGCCCAGCGAGGAAGAGGAAGGGAAGCUCGUGGUGGAGUGCAAUGCGGAGGGGGCGCUCUUCGCCGAGGCCGCCCUGCCGGGAAUCGCCGCCGCCGACUUCCGCGGCGCCCGGCCGCCGCAUAAGUCCUGGAGGAAGCUGCUGUAUAGGGUCGAUUCGAAUGGCUUCGUCGAUGUGCCCCCGCUCGUCGUCCAAGUCAGUAGUCCUGAAUUUUCUCUCCUCUGAGAUUCUGAAUUUAAUCAUCAAUCGAUCUAUUGAUGUUUAGUUACAGAUUGAAGAAAUUCCCCUUUGAGCAGUAACUGAUUUUAUGCAUGUUCGUACAAUAGUUCUUGGCAAAUUUCGUAUGCAUGCAUCGAUCGAUUAAUGCGUAAAAUACUUGGAUUCUUGUGGGUUUUGGUAGGAUUGGAUGGAUGGAUUUCUGCAUGCUUAGACAGACUAGUUUAUCAUUAUUCAUCAGGGGUAUGUUUUGAAGAACGUAAAGGAUUUGGGAGUUUUCUUUAGUGGUGAGUGGAGGAAAUUGGGGACGUUGCUCCUGAAGUUAAAUUAUGUUAUCGUGGCCAUUUCAAUAGUUUGUCUGAAGGUGAUCAGUUGAUGUUAGUACUAGUCUGAGAGGGCAAAGAGGCCAUAAUAAUUCCAUUGCAAAAGUUGGCAAAGAAAGAAAGAAAGAAAGCAAAGGAUAGGGUUAGGAGGAGUCCAAGCUUUACUUAAAAGCUCUCAUCUUUGGGCCACCUUUAAUGCCACACUUUGUCCAUCCAAUCCAUCGACCCAUCCACUUGUGUAUGAUCGUGUUGGGUGCUAGCUAGUCAAGCUUAACAUCACAAGUUCCAUUCCAUUCCAUGCAUGCAUGAUCUGAUCUCCAGUAUGAUAUGAAAUAUAUGCUAUAUGCUCCUCCUCCUCGACGACUUUGUACAAUCUAGCUAGCUAAGAUCGGAAUGAGAUCUUGAUAUCAAAAUCUCACUUUCAAGUUCCAAUCUUUAUCGUUUUGUAGGACAUGAGCAUCAGCAUCCCUUUGCAAUUGAUCCCCCUUUUUGUACCAUACAUGUGAAAAUGCUUUUGUGUUUGCUAGUACUGUACUAUGGCCGCCAGUACACUUCACUACACUGCUUGCUUUGACUUUGGAUGACCUGACCUGACCUGACAUGUCCUAGAUACGGCCAGGCAGCUCAAAUUGAACAGAAUUCAGAACUGAAAUUGAAUCGAAGUCUGAAUCAGAAGUAAUUUAAUUUGCAAUAAAGUGACAUGACCAUCUGAAUUAAAUUGAAUUCUGAAAUUGAUGGCAGGUGACUCAUCUGGGGUGCGGCGGCAUGGUGCUGUGCACGGCCAUCAACCACUGCCUCUGCGACGGCAUCGGCACCGCCCACUUCCUCCACGCAUGGGCGCGCGCGGCCGCCGCCCGAGGCAUCUCCCCCGUCUCCGGCAUCGCCAUCGUCCACGACCGCCGCGCCCUCCGUCCGCGCCGCCCGCCGCUCAUCGCCUUCACCCACCCAGAGUACAGCAACGGCAAUGCCGACGCCGCCGGCAUCGCACACCUGCUCGGCGGCCAGCCUCUCUCGCCGGUCUCGCUCACCUUCACGGCAUCACACCUGGCCCACCUCAAGAACCAGCUCCUGACGUCACCGUCUUCUCCUUCUUCUCCGGCUCCGGCGCUCAAGCGGUGCACGUCGUUCGAGGCGCUGGCGGCGGCGGUGUGGCGGGCGUGGGUGCGCGCCCUGGACCCGUCGCCGUCGCCAUCGUCGCUGCCCGUCAAGCUCCUCUUCUCCGUCAACGUCCGGAACCGCCUCACCCCGGAGCUCCCCGCCGGGUUCUACGGCAACGGGUUCGUGCUCGGGUGCGCCGAGUCCACGGCCGCGCAGCUGACGGCGUCAGAUUCCAUGGCGGCCACGGUGAGGCUGGUGCAGGGGGCCAAGGACAGCGUGGACGACGCCUACGUGCGGUCCAUGGUAGACCUCCUGGAGGCGGACCGCGGCCGGAAGCCGGACCUGGCGGCGAGCCUUGUGAUCUCGGCGUGGACCAGGCUCGGGCUUGAGGAGCUCGACUUCGGCAAUGGCGCGCCGCUGCACAUGGGCCCGCUCACCAGCGAGAUAUACUGCGUCUUCGUCCCCGUCGCCGGCGACCCGCGCGGCGUCUCCGUGCUCGUCUCCGUCCCGCUGGCCGCCGCCGACCGGUUCCGCCAUUACUGCUGCCAUCCGUGCGGAGUCGAGGACGGCGGCGGCGCCAUGGCUGACAUGCUGGAGAAAGGCGAGAAGCCGCAGCAGCAGCAGCAGCAAGCGUGUCUUGGACAGGGGAUUAAGAUGGAUUGCUAGAUGGUUAUCAGUAAAUUAUGGGUGUUGGAUUUACAAAAGGCUGCAAAAUUUUGUUGUGUGCUUUGGGAAUUAACAAGACAUGCAUAUCGUUCGUUUGGAUCGGUCGAGAAAUCAAACGUGAUAAUUAAGUCGAUAGCAACUGAGAACAAGAACAGAGCAUCUUUCCUGUUAGUUUCAGACUAAUGUUUGGUUAUUAAUUGGGAAAAAAAAUUAACCGUAAAAAUAUGUUUUGAUCUCCAAAAGGUCAAUGGAAACAUCAGACGUGUGGAAUUAAUGGGAAAAUAAAAAUCAAACAUGAUAAAUUAAUGGAUCACCUAUUUGGUGCGGUAAACACCCGGCACAAGUGCAAUAUAAAACUACUAAAAAUGUAUGAGACAAAAGUGUAAUAGACACUCGUCACAGGUACAGUGUAAAGUCCAAAUUGUUCUAGAAAAAUGUCAAACCCAUUUGUCGAACAACUUGGUAGCAGGUGGAAGAAUUAUCCCGUGGCCGGAUCAAGUUGCCAGCGCGCGCGUCCUUGUUGAAUAUCUUCAAUUCGCAAAGUUGUUUGUUGCUAUAGCACAUUUGACUUUCUUGUUGAAUUAUCUCAGUUAUUUUGUGGGCCGUCGUAUCCUUACGCCAAGAUUCGUGAAAGGGUGGUUGCGGGGUGUUUUUUAUUUUAUUUUGGCUCGGACCUUUUCUCCCCGCGGCUCACGGCUGCUCCUCGGCCUACGCUAUGUCCGCCUCUUAUCCCCGAUUCAUGCACCACCGCCGACCUUUCCCCGACCGGAUCUGGGCGCGCCGCCACCUCCUAUGGGCCGGAUCAAGUUGCCACCGCACGCGUCCUCCUCUCCCUCCUAAGCGCUGCGUGCCCCGACCUCCUGUGGCCAGAUCCACACACGCCGCCUUCUUCCACGACCGGAUCUGGCCAUCGCGCCGCCCGGGAGAGCUGCUGCCGAGGGAAGCGCCUCCGCCGCUCCUCUUCCCGGCUCGCCACCUCUUCUCCCUGCGGCUCACAGUUGCUCCUGGGCCUACGCCAUGUCCGCCUUUUCUCCCUGAUUCGUGCACCACUGCCGACCUUGCCCCGACCGGAUCCGGGCAAGCCACUCCUCCUCCUAUGGGCCAGAUCCAGUCGCUGCCGCGCGCCUCCUCCUAAGCGCCCUGCCCCCAACCUCCCGUAGCCGGAUGCACGCGCGCCGCCUUCUCUCCUACGGCCGGAUCCAGCCAUUGUGCCGCCGUGCCGAUCGAGAGAUCGCCACUGCCGAGGUAUGCCGCCUCCCUCCUUCCACGGCUCGCCACCUAGCUCUUCUCCCCGCCGCCACUGACCCUAACCCUAAACCCUGCCCUGGCCGGAUCCGGGCACGCCGCCGCCUCCUACUGGUCGGAUCCAGUCGCCGCCGCGCACCUCCUCCUCUCCCUCUUCCUAAUUAAGCGCCGCACCCCAACCUCCCAUGGACGGAUCCAUGCGUGCUGCUUUGUCCUAUGGCUAGAUCCGGCCGCCGCGCCGCUUGGGAGAGCCGCCGUCGUGCCGCCGGGGGAGACGUCGCCGCUAGGUUAGUUAUUUUUCUAAUAAAAAUAAAAGUCAAAUGACAGGAGUUCUUUAUUGAAUAAAUUUUCUUGAAUAAUUAUUUCAGGUUCUAUAACAAGCAGGACCAGAGAUUGAUUACAAAGUAGAAGGUAUUUAUUUGAUAUCUUCUUCUAAUUGCAUUUUCUUAUAAUCUUAGUUGCAGCUGUGCUACUGUGUGCAAUUGGAGUGUUUCAAAUUACCAUCACAUUUUUAUGAGUCAUAAUUUCUGUCCGAUAAUAUGCAAUCAUGUGAGACAGAUGGCUGUGACCAAUAAUAUGCAAUUAUGUGAAACCUGGCUCCUGCGGGUUUUAAGCCUAUCAGGGAACGAAGAUGGGUCAGUUGGACCCUACAGGGCUGCUCAUGGGCCAAAACUUACACCUGACCAGUUUUACCGGGACAUACUCCCCGCCCCUCAAAACCACCGAAACCCUAUAAUAUAUUUGGCCUCCUCCCCCUGCAAAAUUCCAAAUCGAUCCUGAGGGCAACUUCAACAAUGGGUACAACACAGAUACCAAGAAAGUACUAGCUAAUGUGGAGGAAGAAUGCAUAUCACAAGUAAGUAGUGGUUACUUGUUUAAGUAACCACUACUACCCGGGUACCAAGAAAAUGGUGAAGAUGACUUGUGGAUCCAUCAAAAAAGAGAAAGGAAUAAGAAAAGAAAAAACAUAUUGAAAAGAGAAGAAAAGAAAAUUAGUAUCGACUAUCAUUCGACCACAACCACUAGCUCCUUUAGAAUGGCCCAAACGCCAAACCUACUCUACAUCAAUCUGAAAUCCACAACUCUACCCCAACGCUGACAUUCCGUCCUACAUUACCCCCUCCCUCUCCAGCGCUAUCGACCACGCCCUGGCAUUCCUUGUCCAGAGUCGACCAUAUCUCCGCUGGAUCGUUCUGCGCCUCCUUGAAUACACACACAACCCCGAGGCUACACCCCCGUGUUCCCUUUGAUCUCAAGGAGUCCAUGGCCGGCAUCUGCUAGUCACAGUUUCUCUUCCCAAGGGAACCACAUGCACGGUGGGCCUGGGGGGUGGAUGAGAGGACGACGCCUGAAAGCCUCCAACUCCAAGCCUCCAUCCACCACUGAUGUGAUAGAAGCCCCCUAUCCAUCGCUUACAAGAAGGUGCAACCCCUUGAGUUCUUAAGUUCUCAUCGUAAGAUAUAACCAUAUUGGGUGCUUGUCAAUCUUCCAUUGCAGUGGCCACAAUGCUCUCUGAAAUUGCAAAUAUAGUAGAAAAUUACAACAUGAGUGCAGUACAUGCUCGUCACGAUUGCGGUAGAAGACUACCCAAACACAAAACAUGCAGUAGACAAAAGUGCCUUAUACACACCUUCCACAAGUGCAAUGUAACAGUACAAAAAAUGUAAUAUGCAAAACUGUAGUACAUAUAUAUCACGUUGGACCUUCCACGAAUGCAUUAUACACACCUUCCAUAAGUGCAAUAGAAAAGUACAAAAAUGUACUAUACAAAUUAAAAAUGUUUACAAAUCAUGUUGGACCUUCAACAAGUGAUGUAGAAAACCUACUUAAAAAACUAAUAUAUUAAACUGUAGUAAAUAUCCCAUUGGUGGUCAAGGGAUUAAAUGUCUAGUAUAUAUAUAGGUCGUGAGCAGUGGUCGUAUUCAAUACCAUACUAGGGGCGGAGACAGGUAAAGAAUAUAGGGAGGGUUUUUUUUUUUUGGGGGGGGGGGGGGGCAAAGCAUACAAUGUAAAGCUUAUAGGAUGAAAUUACAAAGAUUAUACAUGGGUUUAACUAAAAAUGCCAAAUCAUAGGGGGGGCCAAGGCCCAGGCUGGCCUGGGUUGUGCCUCCGCCACUGAAAGGUAUGGUGACUGGAGGUUCGGGUGGUUGAGGCCAAGGAUGAGAGCUAGAGGCUAGUUAACAGUAUGAAGAAAGGCAAAUCAACUGCCAAGGUUGAUGGUACAGUUGUAAAAAUAGGCCGAAAAAGCAAAGAAAACUUCUGCUAUCAGAAAUCAUAAAAAGGGACCAGGCAGGGGGUUCUAGAAAUGGUAUUGGAGUUGAUGGUGAGAACCUUGCCGAUCUCUCCUAGGAUGAUAGAAGUACUACAUAUGAUGUUAUUCCUUUUAGCCACCCUUCGGUGCGAGAAAUCUAGUCAACAACUGUUAAUUAAGAAGACAAAAACAUGCAGUAGACAAAAGUGUCUUUUACACACCCUCCACAAGUGCAAUAUAACAGUGCAAAAUAUGUAAUAAGUAAAUAUCAAGUUGCACCUUCCAAAAGUGCAUUAUACACACAAGUGCAAUAGAAAAGUACCAAAAAUGUACUAUACAAAUUUAAAUUGUAGUACAAAUCGCAUUGAACCUUCAACAAGAGAAAUAGAAAACUACUUAAAAACUACUAUAUGAAACUUUAAAAAUAUCUGGUUGGUGGUCACGGGAUUGAAGGUCUAGAAUAUAUAUAGGUUGUGAGCGGUGGCCGUAUUCAAUAUCAAUGGUAUGGUAAUUAGAGGUUCGGGCGGUUCAGGCCAAGGAUGAGAGCUAGUGUCUAGUUAACAGUAUGACGAAAGGCAAAUCAACUGCCAAGGUUGAUGGUUCAGUUGCAAAAACUAGGCCGAAAACGCAAUUAAAAGGUGCGCAAUCAGAUACAUAAAAAGAGACCAGGCAGGGGCUUCUAGAAAUGGUAUUGGAGUUGAUGGCGAGAACGUUGACGAUGUCUGCGAGGAUGAUAGAUGUACAUAUGAUGUUAUUCCUUUUAGCCACCCGUCUGUGAGAGAAAUCUCGUCAAAUCGCUAAUUGACACUGCGCUCCCCACUUGCACCUCCUUUCCUAUUUCUGCCAUCAAUCCAGCGUAUGCUAGGUGCCACCGAAUUCGAAUCAACACACUCUCCCAGACCUCGCAUGCCCAAAUCGCUAAUUGACCUUGAAUUCCCUACUUCCACCUCCUUUCCUAUUUCGGUAGCUCUCUGACGGUCACGUCCGGCAGACUUUUUCUCAUCUCUUUACUGAUUAUAUCUUCCCUACUCCUUCCGCCUAUUAUAUAUUAGGGUUACUCAGUCUGCCCCGCCACCCUCCCCAUCCUGGCUCAGCUUGUUUAACCACCGGAGCCGGCAUGACUUGCCCGUGUGCCCCGACACCCCCGUGAUGAUCAGGCUUCAAUGCCCCGGCCCAUAGUUUUCGACCAUGGCCGUCAGCUAGGCGUUCCCAUUGGAGCUCCACGGGCGGCCUUUCCUCUCCAUCUCCUCCUGCAAUUCUCCGGUGGAUCUGUUGAUGGGUUGGAGACUGUAGUAGGAUAUGCGAGUGUUUACAUAUAGCGGGAAGGAGCACGCCCGCAGCGCACGCGCAUAGAAAGCUUUGAGGUAUGCUUUUUGCGUAUGUGCGUUAUGUUUCCCGUGGACGCUCCUAUAUGAUGUUGGUGGCGUUGUACUUUGUGAUUGCAUCUGGCGGUGGGCUUGCUUACUUGGAUGGCUAGAACAACGUUAGUUUCGUCCAACGGGCCAUGAUAAAGCCAGUGAGCAUCAGUUUCGUUCAACAUGCCACGACAAAGAAAUGUUUGAUCUCACAUUAUGACGAAAGGCUAAUCAACUUCCCAGGUAGAUGAUUCAGUUGUAAAGGCUGGAAAAGGCAAAGAAAACGUAGGUUGUCUGAAAUCAUAAAAAGAGACCAGGCAUGGGCUUUUAGAAAUGGUAUUGGAAUUGAUGGGAGAAUGUUGCCGAUCUAUGUGUGGAUGAUAGAAGUACAUAUGAUGUUAUUCCUUUGAUCCACCCUUCAGUGGGAGAAAUCUAGUCAAAAACUGUUAAUUAAGAAAACAAAAACAUGCAGUAGACAAAAGUGCCAUAUACACACCUUCCACAAGUGAAAGAUAACACUACAAAAAGUGUAAUAAGUACACACCAAGUUCACAAGUGCAUUAUACACACCUUCCACAAGUGCAAUAGAAAAGUACAAAAAAUGUACCUAACAAAUUAAAAUUGUAGUACAGAUCACAUUGGACCUUCAACAAGUGAAAUAGAAAACUAUUAAAAAAUUAAUAUAUAAACUUUAGUAAAUAUCCUAUUGGUGGUCAGGGGAUUAAAGGUCUAGAAUACAUACAUAGGUGGUGAGUGGUGGUCGUAUUCAAUACCAAUGGUAUGGUAUUUGGAGGUUCGGGCGGUUCAUGCCAAGGAUGAGAGCUAGAGGCUAGUUAACAGUAUGAAGAAAGGAAAAUCAACUGCCAACGUUAAUGGUUCAGUUUUAAAAAUUGGCCAAAAAGGCAAAGAAAACAUGCGCUAUCAGAAAUCAUAAAAAGAGACCAGGCAGGGGGUUCUAGAAAUGGUAUUGGAGUUGAUGGCAAGAACGUUGCUGAUGUCUGCGAGGAUGAUAGAAGCACAUAUGAUGUUAUUCCUUUUAGCCACCCGUCAAUGGGAGAAAUCUCGUCAAAUCGCUUAUUGACCCUGCACUCCCCACUUGCACCUCCUUUCCUAUUUCGGCCAUCAAUCUAGUGUAUGCCAGGUGCCACCGAAUCAACCCCCUCUCCACACCUGGCAUGCCGCUAAUUGAUCUUGCACUCCCCAUUUGCACCUCCUUUCCUAUUUUGGCGGCUCUCAGACGGUCAGGUCAGCCAGACUUUCUCCCAUCUCUGUAUGAUUAUAUCUUCUUUCUCCUUUCCUAUUAUGCACUAUGAUUAUGGGUGAGAACAAGGCCAUGAAACCUAGUUCCUGCUGCUUUUAGCCUAUGAAGGAACGAAAAUGGGCCAGUUUUCACUCGUAAGGUACGGGUUUAGCAGUAAAACAAAUCCCUGCGAGCCUUUAAAUGGAAAAUUUUGUCACGAGCAUACCCUCGUCAUACACAAAAUAGGCACAACGCCGGCCAUGCACAUAAGGCCCAAUCCGCCCUGCCCUACUCCCUCGGCCUAUUAUAUAUGAGGGUUACUCCCCAAGUUGACCAGUCUACCCCACACCCCUCGCAGGCCUGGAUCAGCUAGUUGAACCACGGUACCGGAGCCGUCAUGACUUGCCCGUGUGCCUCAGCACCCCCGUGAUGAUCAGGCUCCAAUGCCCUGGCCCGUAGUUUUGGACCAUGGACGGCAGCUAGGCUUCCUCGGCGGAGCUCCACGGGCCCUUCCUCUCCAUCUCCUCCUGCGACUGUGCACUGGAUCUGUGGAUGGGGAGGAGACUGUAGUAGGAGAUGGCAGUGUUUAUAUAUUGCGAGAAGGAGCACGCCUGCAGCGCACGCUUAUAGCAAGCUCUGAGGCAUGCUUUGUGCGUACGUGCGUGAUGUUUCCUGUGGACGCUCCUAUAUGAUGCUGUUGGCGUUGUACUUUGUGAUUGCAGCUGGCAGUGGGCUUGCUUACCUGGAUGGCUAGAACAACAUCAGUUUCGUUCAACGGGCUGCGAUAAAGCCAGUGAGCAUCUGUUUCGUUCAAUGCGUCGUGACAAAGAAACGUUGGAUCUAACAGCAUGAAGAAAGGCUAAUCAAUUGCCCAGGUUGAUGACUCAGUUGUUCACUAUCAGAAAUCAUAAAAAAGAGCAGGCAAGGGUUCUAGAAAUGGUAUUGCUGUUGAUGGUGAGAAGGUUGCAGAUCUCUGUGAGGAUGAUAGACGUACAGAUGAUGAUAUUCGUAUUAACCUCCCAUCAGUGAGAGUAAUCCGGUCAAAAACUGCUAAGAAGAGAAAAUAUAAAAGAGUUGAUGUUGUAGAUGAUGGUUCUUGGAAUGAAAACAUGAACUGAAAAGAAAGACCACCCAGGACACAAGGAUUUUGACUCUUCUGUUGCUUAAAUAUCCUGCAGAUAUAUUGUCCUCUAAGUGAUGAUUCUUCAGUUAUGAACCUGGGCAUGCUCACUUGGGCAGACAGAUUGCAAGGCUGUUUAGUACAUGCAUGUGUUUUACCAGGGAUAGAUCCAGGAGUAAUUGCACCCGCCUGCUUUCUGGAGAUUGUUGGUAUCCGUGAUUUCAAAUAAAACGUCUAAAAUAAACGGACAAGGGGAAUACUUAAAAUGUAACCGAAAAAAUAUUGCAGUAGGCAGUAGACACCCUUCACAACUGCAAUAUAAAACUACUAAAAAUGUAAAAAGAUAAAAAGUGUGAUAGACACUUUUCACAAGCGUGGUAGAAAACUAUAAAUGUAAAAUACAUAGUAGAGACCUAGAGAAAAUGGAAUACACACUUAUUAUUAUGCAGCAGAAGCCUUAUAGAUAAGUAUUCUUAUUUUGAGGAGGAGCUGCCCCGUUUCGAUACAUUUAAAUGCAAUAUAAGAGUGAACCAUGUUGCCGACACUGAAUUGCUAGCCAUAGAAAACCGCAAUCCGAAAGUCCUUGACUCUCUCAGUCUAUUCUAUAUUAGGGUUACUACCCAAGUCGGCCACUCUGCCCCACCCCCCACCCCGGCCGGGCUCAGCUAGCUGAACCAACAGAGCCAGCACGACUUGCCCGUCCGCCCCAGUACCCCCGUGAUGAUCAGGUUCCAAUGCCCCGGUCCAUAGUUUUGGACCAUGGCCGUCAGCUAGGCGUCCUCGACGGAGCUCCCCUGCGACAGUGCAGUGGAGCUGUGGAUGGAUUGGAGACUGGAGUAGGAGAUGGGAGUGUUUAUAUAUAGCGAGAAGGACCACACACGCAGCGCACGCGUAUAGAAGGCUCUGAGGCAUGCUUUGUGCGGACGCGCUUGAUGUUUCCUGUGGAAGCUCCUAUAUGAUUGAUGUUGUUGGCGUUGUACUUUGUGAUUGCAGAUGGCGGUGGGCUUGCUUACCUGGAUGGCUAGAAUGACGUCAGUUUCGUUUAACGGGCCGCGAUAAAGCAAGUGAGCAUCAAUUUCAUGCAAUGUGCCGUGACAAAGAAAUGUUUGAUCUAACAGUGUGAAGAAAGGUAAAUCAACUGUCCAGGUUGAUGUUUCAGUUGGAAAAAAGGUUGGAAAAAGUAAAUAAAACGUUCUCUACCAGAAAUCAUAAAAAAAGAGCAGGCAGGGGAGAUUUUAGAAAUGGUAUUGCAGUUGAUGGCGAGAAAGUUGCGGAGCUCUGCGAGGAUGAAAGAAGCACAUAUGAUUUUAUUCCUAUUAGCCACCCAUCAGUGAGAGUAAUCCGGUCAAAAACACCUAUGAAGACAAAAUAGAAAAGAGUUGAUGUUGUAGAUGAUGAUUCUUUACUUAUGAAUUGGAUGGAUAAAUUCCUAAGAAAACAAGAACUGAAAAGAAAGACCCAGAACACAAGGAUUUUGACUCUCCUGUUGCUUAAAUCUCCAGCAAAUAUAUUUUCCACUAAGUGAUGAUUCUUCACUUAUGAACCUGGGCAUGCUCACCUGCGCAGACAGCUUGCAAGGCUAUUUAGUACAUGCAUGUGUUUUACCAAGGAUAGAGGAGGAAUUGCACUGGCCUGCACACGUGCUUUCUGGAGAUUGUUGGUAUCGGUGAUUCAAAUAAAACGUCUAAAAUAAACAGACAUCGGGAGUACGAAAAAUGCAUCCGAAAAAAUAUUGCAGUAGGCACAAACACCCUUCACAAUUGCAAUAUAGAACUACUAAAAAUGUAAAAGACAAAAGUGUGAUAGACACUUCUCAUAGGCGUGGUAGAAAACUAUAAAUGUAAUGUACGUAGCAGAGACGUACAGAAAAUGGAAUACACACUCAUCCUUGUGCUACCUCCUAUGAAUACAGUUAAAUCCAAAAGAUCACGCAAUAUAAGAGUGAACCAUGUUGCUGAAACUGAAUUGCUAGCCAUGGACCACAAUCUAAAAGUCCUUGUGUAGGAGCCCAAGGAGUGCGUGGACCAUGCCUACGUGGGGUCCAUGGUGGACCUCCUCAACGACCGUGACUAGAAGUCGGACCUGUCGGCGAACCUGGUAAUCUCACACAUGGACCCGCUCACCCGCAAGAUGUACUGCCUCUUUAUCACCGUACUUGUCUCCGUCCCGCAGGUUGCCGCCGACAGAUCCACCAAUAGAUUCCGCCAUUACUGCUGCCAUCCGUGUCCCAGCACUGAAGUCGAGGACGGUGUUCUAGGAAACUACUCUUUCUAUCCAUGCACGGAUGCACCAUACCUCUCACGUGCACUUUCACCUGGGCAUGCUCACUGGCCACAUCAAGGAUUGAGCUCAAAAAAGAAAUGUUGGAUCUAACAGUAUGAAGAAAGGCAAAUCAACUGCCAAUGUUGAUGGUUCAGUUGUAAAAAUAGGCCAAAAAAAGCGAAGGAAAGGUUCGCUAUCGGAAAUCAUAAAAAAAGACUAGGUAGGGGGUUCUAGCUAGAAAUGGUAUUGCAGUUGAUGGUGAGAAGAUUGCUGAUCUGCGAGGAUGAUAGAAGUACAUAUGAUGUUAUUCCUUUUAGCCACAUGUCAGUGGGAGAAAUCGUGUCUGGCACCUUCUUUCAUUUCUUCAUUGAUUAUAUCUUCUUUAUUCUUGUGUUUUAUUUCUCCUUUACUUUAUGCACUAUGAUUAUGGGUGGGAACGGUGUUCCAGGAAACUACUCGUUCAACUGCAACUCCUUCACGGAGUGUUUGAUCUCUUGUUGUGCCGGGAAGGCACAUCUUGAAAGGGGUGAUUGUUCUACAUGAGACCAUCCAUGUGCAUCAUCGGAAGAAAUGGAUGAGGUGUUGUUUUCAAAUUGACUUUGAGAAAGCUUACGACAAAGUUAAUUUUUUACAAAAGGCGCCUUGUAUGAAGGGAUUCAAUAUGACAUGGCGCAAUUUGCGAGGAGGGCAUUGUGUGGGGGUUAAGGUUAAUGAUGAUUUGGGGAAUUUCUUUCAAAAUAAAAAAUGUUUAAGACAUGGCGAUCAGUUAUCUCUUCUGCUUUUCAAUAUUGUAGGUUUGUAGCCGAUAUCUUGGCUAUCCUAAUUGCUCGGUAUAGUUGGAGGGCUCAUCCACCAUUUAGUUGAGGGAUGUGUUUCUUUACUCCAAUAUGCAGAUGAUACCAUUAUCUUCUUGGAACACAACUUAAAGAAUGUUGUCAAUAGGAAGCUAAUUCUUUGUAUCUUUCUACAUCUAUCUGGUCUUAAAUCAAGUUCCAUAAAAGCGAGAUAUUAUGUUUUGGAAAAUCUAAGGAGGAGGAAUCCAAUUAUAAGCGCCUCUUCGGUUGUGAGUCAGGGUCGCUACCGUUUCGCUACCUUGGGAUCCCUAUUCACCACCAUUAAUUGCUUGAUAAGGAAUGGAAGUCCAUUGAGAAUUGUUUUGAGAAGAAGCUGGGGUGCAGGAAUGGUAAAUUACUUUCUUAGGGAGAUCGUCUUACUCUUAUAAAUUCAGUGCGCUAGAGUGCCCAUCUUUAUUUUUUCCUUGCUUGAAAUUCCCGUCGUGACUAGUAAGAGAUUCGAAUUCUACAUAUCUCGUUUUUUUGGCAAUCUGAUAAGCAUAAGGGUGAAUAUAGAUUGACCAUAUGGAGAAUUAUCGAUCUGUCGCCCAAAAGAUCAGAGCGGACUGGAUAUUGAGUUACUGGAGAUAAAAAUAGGUGUUUACUUAGCAAAUGGUUGUUUAAAAUCCUCAAUGAAGAAGGGAUGUGACAAAAGUUGUUACAUAACAAGUAUCUUCAUUCUCGCAUCCUUUACCAGACUGUUGCUAAACCUACUGGCUCUCACUUCUAUAAAGGUCUCACGAAAGUUAAGGAGGGUUUUGUAGCCAUGUUUUGUUAGUCGUUGGUGAUGGGACUAGAAUUUAUUUCUGGGAAGAUACUUUGCUAGACAAUUUGCCACUUGCUUAUCAGUAUCCAUCAUUAUUCUAGAUUGUGCAACAUAAAGAUGUUUUCUACAGUCUUUGCGACAAUUCCUCUGAAUAUGAGUUUCAGGUGGAACUUAACUGGUGCCAAGUAGACCAGAUGGUUUCAGACGUAAUUGGUGCCAAGUUUCAAUAGAUUUCUGUUGGUAGAUCCAAUGCACCAUGCAAUUGUUGACUGGUAGAUCCAAAGUACACAUAUAUACUGAAAUAUGUCAUGUGUUUGAUCCAAAUUCAUCAUAUAUACACCUCCUUUGGCACCAUAUCAUUGUAUUUGGUGAAUACAUUUGUCAGUUCUAGUAUAAUUGGAAUUAGUAGAAACUGUAUUCAACAUAAUUUUGUUUGCCAGGCUGCCAUUUAGAAUUGUCAAAUGAAAUCAAGCACAUAGACAAGACAUAAAACUACAAAUUGGUAAUUCAAAUCAAGCAUGGCGCAAGGAUCCAUUCAAUUCACCAUAAAUUGGGCACUAGGUUAGUGGGAUUUACCCUAUCAGCUGGGAACGAAGAUGGGUUAGUUUUCACCCGCAUGGUACGGAUAAUAUGGUAAAACAAAAGACCCCAAGUAUUUUAGUGGUAAAUUUUGGAACCGUUGGGUCCACCGGGUAUAUACGAGUCUUGUAAUACUGAUCCUGGUCAUACGUAAAAUAGGCAUAAUAUCGACCCUGCACAUGACGCCCAAUCCGACCUGCCCUACUCCCUCCCCCAAUUCCAGAGUAGGGUUGCUCUGCCAAGUCGGCCAAUCACCCCCCCCCCCUCCCCCCUCCACGACAGGGCUCAGCUGGUUGCACAACCAGAACCGACACGACUUGCCCGUGCGCCCCGGCACCCCCGUGAUGAUCAGGCUCCAAUGCCAAGUUGGUCCAUAUAGUGUUUUGGACUAUGGUCGUUCCUAGGCGUGUCCUCGGUGGAGCUCCACGGGCCCUUCCUCUCCAUAUCCUCCGAUCCCACGACUGAUGUGCAGUGGAUCUGUGGAUGGUUUGGAGACUGGAGUAGGAGAUGGGGAGUGUUGAUAUAGCGAGAAGGAGCAUGCACGCAGCGCACGCGUAUAGCAAGCUCCGUGACAUGCUUUGUGCGUACGUGUGUGACGUUUGCUGUGGACGCUCCUAUAUGAUGUUGUUGGCGUUGUACAUUGCAGCCGGCGUUGGGCUUGCUUACCCGGAUGGCUAGAACAGCGUCAGUUUCGUUCAAUAGGCCACGAUAAAGCAUGUAGAAAAAGGUUCAAACGCCAAACCCUGCCCUAAAUCAAUAUGAAAUUUGAAACUACCCCACACUGCCACUCCUCCAUCCUACCUGUCAGGGCAGCAAGUGCGGUACAUGCCCGUCACGAUUGCAGUAGAAAACUACCAAAACACAAAACAAACAUGCAGCAGACAAAAGUGCAUAAUGCACACCUCCCACAAGUGCAGUAGAAAAGUACUAUACGCACCUAUAGUACAUAUCACGUUGGACCUUCCACAAGUGCAGUAGAAACUUACUAAAAUUGUAAUAUACAAAACUAUAGUACAUAUCUUGUUGGUGGUCAGGGGAUUAAAGGUCUGGAAUAGUAUUCAGUACCAAUGGCAUGCUAAUCGGAGGUUCAGGCCUAGGAUAAGAUACAGUGGCUUGUUGAGGGGUAACCAUGGUUUCAGCUUCACUAGCAAUAGGUGGAAGGGACAUUUUUUUUUUGACGAAAAGAACACAUCGUGCUUUUUAUUGCCAAAGUGGUCGAGAAGAAUUCAACCAAGAAGUAAAUACAAGAUUAAAAGGAAGGGGAACAAAAAAUAGACACAACAAUCUAAGGAACAUCAUCAUUUGCAGAAAGAAGGGCACCAAACCCUAAACUGUCUGCCUCUCUCAAUAAUCUAGCGUCAUCCUGGAUGAGAUCGAUAACAGCCGUCGCAGAGUGCUGAGAAGCUUUGAAGAUCCGGCUAUUCCUAUUCUUCCAAAUAUUCUAGAGGGUCAACAAGAAGAGGGCAGUGGCCCACUUGACCUCCGCCUUCGAGCGAUUAGCAGCAAUGGCGUCCCUCCUGAGGCACCACCACUCCUUGAUCGAGGAAGGUGCAACCCGCGUCACCGGAUUGAAUCAAUUCAUGUGGAACUCCGGCCAACGCCUACCCAAACCUGGCGCGUGAAACUGCACACAAUGCAAAGAUGGAACGCGGUCUCAGGUGUGUUGGGGCAAUGGGAGCACCAUUUCCCCCCACUUGUGGUGUUCUAGCUAGGAAAAUGGACCACAUUUCCCCACACUUGUAUUAAUGGUGUAGUAGAAAACUACUGCUUCCAUCCAUGUAUUUGUGGGCGUACUAAUUUUCGCAUGCAAUCCAUGUAUAAUAGGCAUCCUUUUUUCCAUGCAUCUUGAAGUAACAAAAUGCAACAGAAAAAUAUUGGAGUACACAAAGCACGGUAAACACCUGUCAGAAUUGCAAUAUACAACUACUAAAAAUAUAGAAGUCAACAGUGUAAUACACACUUGCAGUUCAAUAAAAAAGUGUAAUAGACACUUGCUACAAGCGCAGUAGAAAACUAUAAAAAAAAAAGUGCAGUACACACCCAUCAAAACAUAGUAGAUACCUACCAAAAAUGGAUUACACAUAUGCAGUAGAGAAACAAGUAAUGUCAUUGUCGUCAUACAAAGAAGUAAGGAGAAGAGAGAGGAGUGAGAAAUUUUGGUAAGACAAAUUGUUGUGUGUUGCGCAAUUAGAAAGAAGUACUCCUUUUAUUAUCAUAAGAGCUCGUUUACGGUACAAUUUACUACUAGGGUAUCAAGUACACAGUAAAGUCCAAUUGUUUUAUAAAAUCUGAAACCAAUUUGUCAAACAACUUAGUAUAAGGUUAAAUUAAUUAGUACAAGGUUAAAGAAUUAUGAGGUUAAAGAAUUAAACCUUGCGAGUUGAAUAGAUUGUAAAAUUCACUGUUGAGACUGGUUGUUUGACCGUGGCCAAACUCAAAGGCGCUAAAAAAAUGCCGUCCCAGCCGUCAAAUCCCUCCACACCUCUACAUACCGCUUUGCCAGAGCGACGAUGGCACACCACAUGUUCUUUUUUUCUUACAUCUUAAAACUGGUCGAUUAAUCAGCAUUACAAAAUUGGAUGCUCCAAGGAAAGAGUUUUCAAUUUUGACCCACAGGGGCCGGUGCUUACCUUUUGAAUAUAAAGUCACCAAGUUACUAUGCAUAUGCCUCUUAUUUCCCGUCCAAAACCAUCAAACUACUAAGUUGGAAUUCUUACCCUAUUAGGGAAUGGGGAUGGGCAUGUUUUAGUUCCCAUGAGGAGUAGCCUCAUAGGCAAAACCCAAGUCCAACGGGUUUGCAGGGACAUGCAUAUAUGUUUCAGCAAUAGUCUCACAAAGGCCUGCCACCUCCCCCAAGAAUCCAAAUUAAAUCCACCCCACCCAAGCCCUCAGCCAACGCUAAUAUAACUCCCCUUGAAAGACCCAAAUCCUAAACCUACAGCAAAUCAAUUUCAGUUAAAUUCCCAACUCCACCCCUUCACAUGCCUCCCUCUUCGGCACAGUUAUUGUAUCUCCUAUAUCGAUCCAUGCAUCCUUGUCAUUCGCCUCCGACCUCCACAAGGGUCGUCAAAAGCUGUUGGUCGCCUUACUCCUCCAAAGGGAACCAUGUGUGGUGGACUUGGUGGUGGAUGAGGAAUAUGCCCACUCAAACUCUAACCUUCAUCCAUGACGGUUGCGACAACGAGUCUCCACUGUCUAUCCCUUAGCAAGAGGGGCCUGUGAAAUCUAUGCCAAACGUUUGUACGUGAAAAUAACCGGCAGUGUUAAAUAUUCUAGCUUAUGGUUGCUGAAAUAUAUCAAUGUAACUAUAGUACAACUAGAUUUGUGUUUGCAAUAGCAUUAGCUAGAUAAAAUGUAUCAACGUAAAAGGUACCAUUGUGUUUGUAUGAUAAAACUUUUUUUUGUAUGAUAACUUGUGCCUGCACAUUAUGCUUAUUCCCUCCAUAAUAAUGGCCACUUAUUUUUCAAAAAGUUUGCAUAUGUAACAAAAAUUUAUAGAACCUCAGAGUGGAAGAACUUCGCAAUGUGUAGUUUCUCACACAACAAUAGUAUGUUUCCUUUCCUUCUUCGCAGCGCGAUGCCGCAUAACAGUUUCCAUAUCUGCAUGCUUUGCCAUUUCGCCUGGGAGUUGUGGCGCCUGAUCCUCCUCCCAGUUCAGUUCCCCCUAGUUUCUGCCGCAAACUCCCUCCGUCAACUAGAUCAUCCGUGAUCAAUUGGUGGAUAACCCUUUUCCCUAAACCACUCCCAUGGAACGAUCAAAGGGUCUUCCAGGAGGUGUCCAUUGUUCCAUUCUUUCUUGUUCAAGCGGUGCUCACAAACGAGUAUAUUUCCCUUUACUUGGCUACUCUUCUUCUUUAACUCAUCGGCAGAGUUCCUGCCUGUUUCAACACAAAGGUUUUUUUUUUUGCAGGUUAAAAACUUCAUUAAUCAAAAGACUGAACAGAGUCUUGACGCAAAGCGUCGAUUACAAAUUGAGGUUUUUCACCCAACCAGAUUUCAGAGGAGGCAUUGAUUCUCGCAAAAUUAGCAAGAGUGUGGCUAACAUUAUUCUGGCUUCUUGAGCAUUUGAUCAGCUUGACGCCUUCACGUUCCUGAAGGAGGUUGCGAAUCGCAUCCACCGUGUUGCAAUACAUGGACAGGUUUUGCUUUGCAGGAUCAACAAGGGCCAGGACUUCAGAGCUAUCAGUUUCCACCGUGAACGGCAGCGUAGAGAACUGUGCUUACACUAUUGUAAAACUGGUGAAGGCAAUUUGGAAAGAUCGACGUAUUGCCAGCUUCUGUCCUAUUGUUUUGCAAUUUUCUCUCCAUGCUAUAUUUAGAGGAGCACUAUUACAAAACAGUAUAUAUGUGACGAGUCAUCAGUGAAGGCCCUUUCGCGCCCGUCAUUGAUGACCAUCAUCAGUAAUGGGCGUACCACGCUCGUCACUGAUGAGUGGUCAGCACGCGCCCGUCACUGAUGUGUUUCAUCCAAUGUUUGUUUCUUGAUGUAAUGUGAUGUGAUGUGAUGCAAUCCCAUGUUUAUGAUUGUAAUGCAUUUCUUUCUUGAUGGAUCUUUGGUUUUGGUCCCUGCUCUUGCCGCCGUUUCGGCCCCAACCGGCGAGCUGCUGAUUCCAGACGAGAUUCCGGCCUGUUUUUUUUAAUCGUGAAAAUAUAUUUAGUGUCGGUCGUGGUUUUACUGCCCGCCACUGAUGUGGUAGACAUCAGUAACGGGCAGGCCGUCCGCCAGUGAUGAUGGCAGGAAGUUAGUGGCGGGCGGCCUGUCCGUUACCGAUGAAGUUUUUCGGCCGACACUGAUACCCGUUUCUGUAGUAGUGGGGAUGAACCCCUUUUCGAAAGAAAAGAAAAAAAGAGGGGAUGAUGCAUCAGAACAGUGCCUUUUUCUUUCUCUUUAAUUUUCAAGAGAUAAAUGUAAGUGUAUAUAAAGCACCAAAGAAUGCAGCUUGUACGUAGCCAUUUGGAUCCCCUAAGGCUGGUCAUAGUGGGAAUAACAAAGGUGGUAACAUAAGUACCAACUAAGCAAAUUUGGUGAUGUGACAUGUUAUUAAUGAGGAGAGAGGGGUUUGUGGUAACUAGAUAUGUUACUGUAACAUCACACAAACCAAAGUAAGAUGAGUUUACAACCUAAUAAAUGACACAAUGCAUGACACCACAUAUAUGUUACUACUCACUAUGAAGAUAGUAACUUAGAAUAGUAACAAAGACAUGUUACUACUCUAUGUUACCAUGCACUAUGACCAGCCUAAGCACGCACCUGCGGUGAGUAGUUUUCUUUAUAGGCAGUUCCUUAAACUAGGAAAUCUGGAGCCUCAAAGUCCUCAACAAUUAUAUUAAUCAGAUGCUGUAAAAUACAGGUAAUAGGUAACACAAAGUUAAAAGGAUGGCAUCAACUACCAUUGCUUUUUUUUCGUUUUAGAAAAGGGAGCGCUAAAUGAGACAUUUUUUUUAAUACCAUUCGUCAUUUUGGCUUCAGAUGGGAUCUGGCAGAACUAGUUAGCCUUGCUAUUUCCAUGCAUCCGGAGGCAUCUUCUUUUCAUCUAUCAAGGCAACUGAAUUUGGUAGAUUUUGCAGCAACAAGAUGCUAUUCCAUCCAUCACUUAUAUACAUGGAGUUAGUAUGUAAAUAUAUAUAUCCCACGGAAUCAAAUUCCUUUUCUCAAUAUAUAUCCACACUUUGCAAGAACCACAUUGAAAUCUUUGCCAAGGAAACACUUGAUCAACUUUUCUUUAGUAGAUAAUCCAAAAGUCAACUUGAGUGCUCAUUCUGUUACCUUUUUCAUUUUUAUUUCUUUCUGAAAUGCCUUUUCGGAAGUUAAGCCUUUUAUAUAUGGGGAGUUGGAUGCUGGUUGGAGCCAUUAAUCAGGUGGGCUAGCACUCUGCCAAUUUGUUGCUUAUAGGAAUAAAAUCUGAACAGUUUGGGCCAAGCUGGUAAAAAAAUUGGGCCCUGUGUCUUGUCCACAUCGUGAACAAUUAAAUGUGUACCGCACACACACGAAGUGCAUUUGGACAGUGUCCCCAUGCAGAUUUUCAGAACAGAAUAAUUUUCUCAAGAAUACAGAAAAUAAUUUGAAAUUCCCUCAUCCAUGAGUUGAGUUUGUAUACUUGUGAAUUUCAGAGGGGGGGGGGGGGGGAAUAAAAUGAUUGGAUGUACAAAAUAGAAACUGGGUAGAAAUGAAGAAAUCCCCCGAGCCACGAAUCUGCGUAAAAUUCACAUCAAAAGAUGGAAGCAACUAACUUCAUACUCUACUAGUAAUAUAUAAUAUUGCAUCAGAAACUAAUUAAACACAAAACUUAAUUCACAUGGGUUCAAAAUAACAUAGACACGGUGUACAGUACCAGGUAGUUACAACUUACAAUACAUACAUAUACAGAAUGGCAAACACGCAAUCCAAACAUGUAGUAACCACACAAGACCACUCUCACAAGACACUCUCACAAUCACUCACAAACUAUAAUUACCACGAGUCCACGACGAUGCAGCUCAAUAUAACUGCCUUAUUGCAUAUAUAUCUGAAUACCAUGUAUGCAAUGCAAGCCGAUAUUCUUCAGUACUUCUGAAACUUCCACAUGCCCAUGCCAUCAAUGGCAAUGCCGCCCAUGUCCAUGGACGAGAUCUCGGUGGCAGUGGCGUUGCUGACCCCGGCAAUAUCGUCCUGGGACUGCGACACCAUCGACGACGGCCCACUAGCAAUGAAGCCCUGGUCUCCUGCAUGGCCCAUCUGCAGCUGCAUGUGCUGCUGGUAGAAGGACAAGGGCGCCGGCGGUGGCGGCGCUUGCAGCUGAGCCCCAAAGUAGAGGCCGUUCAUGGGAAGUGCCGGGAGCUCUGCAACAUUGCCCAUGGGCAUGGGAGGAGGCAGCUGGUACGACGACGAGGCCCCGGCUGUGGUUCCAUACAAGGUGGAAGGGUCCAUGCCCAUGGCCAUGGGAGGAGGCAGCUGUGUCUGGAUGCAGGCUGCAGUGCUAGAGCCGAGGCCCUGCUGCUGAUCUCCCAUGGCUACGGGAGCCAUGGGGUAGGACGGCAUCACCAGCUUCUUGAUCCCAGUGGUCUUGUGGAAGAUCCGGCAGACCACCCACUCAUCCUACAGAUGUAGAACCAAUUGAGUUAGGGAAAAUCAAGAUUAGGAAUUAAGGAGUAGUUAUGCAGCAGAUGUAUAUAUACAUGCGGCUAUGUGCUACAAGAUUUUGGCAACCGAAUUACCGAAGGGGCACCGGUAUUUGCGGUCACCGUGCUCAGAAAUAUACCGCUCCAAAUUACCGAGGGGCACCGGUAUUUGCGGUUACCGUGGUUAGAAAUAUACCACUCAAAAUUACCGAGGGGUACGAAAUAUACGUACCGCUAAAAUUACCGAGGGGCACCGCCGCACCCGCACCGGUAUUUGUGCAUGUUUAGAAAUGUACAGCUCAUCCUAAACUUAAAAAUUACGUACCCAGGGGCACCGGUAUUUCCGGUUUCCGUAGUUAGAAACAUACCGCUCGAAAUUGAACUUUCUCGACAUGCAAGAUAAUUUAUCCACAUAGUGAGCGUUAUCCAAAUUACCACGGCGGACCGGAUAAAAGGCGGUAAUUAACCAAAUCAUGCGUACUAGCUACUAUAUUAGAUUUAAAUGAGUAGGUACAUACCUUGAGAGAAGAUGAAUUAGUGACCUUGGCAGUGGGCAGGAAGGAGAGCACCUUGUUCUCGUUGUUGUUGUUGUUGCUUUCCAUCCGGUACUCGUGCAUAACCCAGUUGGUCUUCUCGCCACGAGGAGCCCUACCCUUGUAGAACACGAGGGUCUUCUUCAUGCCGAUGAGGACGGACUGUGGCCUGAAUAUCUCCUUGUCCUUACCUGUGGCUUUCCAGUACCCGGCCUGGGUGGCACGGUUUGUCCGGUGGCCCGUGGGGUACUUGCGGUCCCGGUGGCAGUAGAAGUACCACUCCUUCAUGUCGUCCCCGGCCGUCAUCUUUGCCUUCGCCGGGAGCUCCCACGGCUCGCUUUUGUUCAUGUCAACCUCUCCGAUCGCCCUCGUGCAGAAGCUCCUGUUGGACACCUUGGGAUUCAGAUAGAAGACGAUCAAUUCUUCAUCUGUUGGGUGGAACCUAAAGCCAGGAGGCAGAUCCAGCUGCCCCUGUUGAAGGUGCUGCUGCUGCAUGUCUCCCAUGGCUUGAUAUCUCUCUAGCUAGUUUGCAACGAAAAUCUGUAUGGAGCUAGAGAAGAUGAAGAUGUAGAUCGAAUGAUGGGUUUAGGAGAGAGGGAGGAGGCGCUUAAAUAGGGAAGGAGGAGUGUGUAGGUAAGACACUUCCCACAGAAGCCUCCUUAAUUUCCUGUCCCUUUGCACUUUGUUUAAUUUGUCAGUUCCUACUGGGGAUAGAUAGAUAGAAGGAUGGUUCCUAAUUAAGCUCCUCUUUACAGCCGUGUCAUGCUUAUCCCUUGCUUGCCUCUCUCUCCGCUGGAACACACAUUGCGGUGACAGGUAGCAAGGUCUCCAAAAUUCCCAUACUUGAUUUUGUAUGUAUUUGCGAGGUAUACGCAAGCGUAUCCGUUCUUCUUGCUACCGCCCUCAUUGUCUCCCUCUGCAUGUCUCCGUUAAAUUCUAGCCACCCCGCUGCCUUUAUGAUGCUGAUCUUGUGAUCGUUCUGCAUACAUUCUGUUGUGUGCUGGAUACACAAAAACACCUUGCAUGUUUUUUUGCAUAUUACUUUCGAUGGACGGCCAAGUUCAGUUCCGGUUUGCACAAAAAGCUGUGUGCUGGGAAAUGUGACAAAAAUGAGAUCACACGCACUGGCUAUACCUUGCACGCAGCCAGCUGAAAUCGAUCAACAACACUAGCUUAGCUUAGAAGCUUUAGAAUAGAUCGAAUGGCGUCAGCUAGUAACGUUAAUCCUUUUCUUUCUUUUUCUAUGGUGAUGGAAUAAUCACCAUUUGUGUGUGUAUAUCUAUUAAUCUUUCUUCCCUGGAACCGGCCAUGAUCUGCGUUUCAGUUAAUUACCGCGAGAUAUAUGCGGCAACUGCUGGUGUGCGUCGCUAUACAUGUAUAUGUACUUAUCAUCUGCUUGGCCAUAUUCCAAACAUUUGCAUCUAGAAUUCUCGUUCCAAACAUUCUCGCUAUAAUAGGAAUCUAAGAGAAGUUAAUGAAAAGAAACAGGAAAUGUACAUGUAAUGCAUGGCUGGUUGCAUGUUUAGUUGUAUGGGCGGAUGUUAGGGCGAGCCGAGGGGGAAAAUGUAGCAGCGAGACAGAGGCGCGUUGUAGGGACCAAUAAGAAUGGUGCGGCGGUGGGAGAGGAGGCGUUUGCUCCCUAAGUCUAAUGUGACCUGGCAUGAUCGCUGCGCACCCGGUCUCGUCCAAUAUUUGUUUUACCAUCCGUUUUGCUCUUUUGUGCAAUCGUCAUGCAUGACAUGUCUUAUGGUGUCAUGUAGUAGGAUCUAGCAAAAUUAAGGUGGCACAUAAGAAAACUUAAUAAAAAGAAACAGGAAAUGUAAUGCAUGGUCGGUCCCUUGCUUAGUUGUAUGGACGGACGACAGGGCGAGGCGAGGAGGAAAAAGUAGCAGCGAGGCGGAGGCGCGUUGUAGGGACCAAUAAGAAUGGUGCGGCGGUGGGAGAGAAGGCGUUUGCUCCCUAAGUCCGCGCCCCCGGUCUCGUCCAAUAUUUGUUUUACCAUCAGUUUUGCUCUUUUGUGCAAUCAUCAUGCAUGACAUGUCUUAUGGUGUCAUGUAGUAGGAUCUAGCAAAGGUGGCACGUGAGAAAACUUAAUAAAAAGAAACAGGAAAUGUAAAUGGUUGCAUGUUUAGUUGUACGUGUGGAUGUUAGGGCAAGGCGAGGGGGGAAAUGUAGCAGCGAGGCGGAGGCGCGUUGUAGGGACCAAAAAGAAUGGUGUGGCGGUGGGAAAGGAGGCGUUUGCUCCCUAAGUCUAAUGUGGCCUGGCACGAUCGCUGAGCCCCCGGUCUCGUCCAAUAUUUGUUUUACCAUCCGUUUUGCUCUUUUGUGCAAUCGUCAUGCAUGACAUGUCUUAUGGUGUCAUGUAGUAGGAUCUAGCAAAUUAAUUAAGGUGGCACAUAAGAAAACAUAAUAAAAAGAAACAGGAAAUUUAAUGCAUGGUGGGUCCCUUGCUUAGUUGUAUGGACGGACGACAGGGCGAGGUGAGCAGAAAAAAGUAGCUGCGAGGCGGAGGCGCGUUGUAGGGACCAAUAAAAAUGGUGCGGCGGUGGGAGAGAAGGGGUUUGCUCCCUAAGUCUAAUGUGACCUGGCACGAUCGCCGCGCCCCCGGUCUCGUCCAAUAUUUGUUUUUCCAUCGGUUUUGCUCUUUUGUGCAAUCGUCAUGCAUGACAUGUCUUAUGGUGUCACGUAGUAAGAUCUAGCAAAGGUGGCACGUGAGAAAACUUAAUAAAAAGAAACAGGAAAUGUAAUGCAUGGCCGGUCCCUUGCUUAGUUGUAUGGGCGGAUGUUAGGGCGAGGCGAGGGGGAAAAUGUAGCAGCGAGGCAGAGGCGCGUUGUAGGGACCAAUAAGAAUGGUGCGGCGGUGGGAGAGGAGGCGUUUGCUCCCUAAGUCUAAUGUGACCUGCACGAUCGCCGCGCCCCCGAUCUCGUCCAAUAUUUGUUUUACCAUCGGUUUUGCUCUUCUGUGCAAUCGUCAUGCAUGACAUGUCUUAUGGUGUAAUGUAGUAGGAUCUAGCAAAGGUGGCGGUGAGAAAACUUAAUAAAAAGAAACAUGAAAUGUAAUGCAUGGCCGGUCCCUUGCUUAGUUGUAUGGACGGACGACAGGGUGAGGUGAGGAGAAAAGAGUAACAGCGAGGCGGAGGCGCGUUGUAGGGACCAAUAAGAAUGGUGCAGCGGUGGGAGAGGAGGCGUUUGCUCCCUAAGUCUAAUGUGACCUGGCAUGAUCGCCGUACCCCUGGUCUCGUCCAAUAUAAAUUUGUUUUACCAUUGGUUUUGCUCUUUCAUGCAAUCGUUAUGCAUGACAUGUCUUAUGGUAUAUAUGGUGUAGUAGGAUCUAGAAAAGGUGGCACAUAAGAAAACUUAACAAAAAGAAACAUGAAAUGUAUUGCAUGGCCGGUCGCUUGUUUAGUUGUGGCUCCCCCGGUCUGGUCUAGUAUUUGUUUCACCAUCAGUGUGUUGCUCUUUCUUCCAAUGACAUGUUUCAUGGUAUCAUAUAGGAGUAUGCAGCAGGAUCUAGAAAGGUGGCACAUUAGAGGGUAUUACAAAUUAAACAAGGUCUUACCGGUUCCAUUUCAUUAUUGGAGAUAUAAAGUAUUAGGUGCUUAAUGGUAAUUAAACAAUUAAAAAAAGACGGGAAAUACAUUUUUACCGUUGGGGAAAAACAUUCGGUGUUAAAAAAUAGUACGGAGUAUAAUUAUUUAAGCACCACAACUUGUUGUUUCUAAAGGCGAGUCUCUAUAUAUAAUCUUUUCAAUCCCGACAGAUUGCCCUGGUAUAUAUGACCGGUCCCGAUCAGGAAUAAAAGACUUAUACAGUGAUAUAACUAUGCACUAUCAUAGCUUAGCUUCAAUUUCGACAGGAAAAUGGUGUACUUGGCUUCAUUAUUCUACAGUAGUAUAAUGAAGUCCACCUCAUGCAGCCUUUAUUUGCAAUUUAUGUCGCAAAGCUUGCACAUCCUUCUUUUAGGUUAAUUUGACUAUAUAUGCUUUGCUCUUUGCAUUGAUAAUACUACUCCACUCAGUACUAUGUUACAUUCAAUUUAUGUCGUUAUCUAAAGUGCGGGCAUUUCUCUGUUUUAGGUAAGAUGAGAAAGGAGCGCUAGUCGGAUGGAAUUGUAGUCAAUAUAUUUUGCAACGAGUCGAUCCUGCAAAUGCAUGCAUACAUUGGGCAGUAAACCCAACAUACAUCAAUAGGCACAAGAACAAAUGCAGCACCUAUUCUCGUCAGCAAAAGGAAAAUAUGUGCAAUAUCUCUGCUUUCAUUGACAUCAAAAUAGGAAGCAAGAAUAGCAAGUUUGCAUCUUUUCUCAUCGCUAUAUGCGUUACUACAGACUUGUAUUAAAAAUAUAUACCUCUAAAUUAGAACUGGUGCACAGGAAUUAUAAGGUAAACAGAAAUUCCGCACGUAUGCCACAGAAAACUAUGUCUCCGCUAGUGUUCCGCCGGAAAAUGUUGUUCCUUUGCCAUUUAUGUUUUCAAAAUUUAAAGAAAAAAAUCCAUUUUCAUUUUGCAAAACUCUUUCUCUGUUUCCAUAUUUUUCCUCGUUUCAAUUUUUCACGGAACAUACGAAUUGCACAAUCCCCCCCCCCCCCCCUCCCCGUACUUAUUAGCGAAUUAAAAUUCUGGCAGUGAUGAUAAUAAGAAUAAGGCCCCCCGUACUUAUUAGCGAAUUAAAUUCUGGCAGUGAUGAGAAUAAGGUGAAUGGAUAACACGUGCAAGGGCCGAAAUGCACGUGCGUUGCGACGGGACAACAAACUUAAAUGAUACCCUCAAAGAUAUGCGUCAAAACUUCCUCCGUGUGGUCUUCUUUGACGUGUGAUCGUGUCGGUGCCGGCGCCGCUUCCCAGGAGCUUCAGUUGCGGCUCCGACUGGGGCGAGGACGAGAACCUCUGGGAGCUCAUCAACGCCGCGUCGCAGACGCAGCAUGACGAGCAGCAAGAGCAGCAGCGGGUCGUCUUCCUCCAGGUCGCGGGCAUGGUCAGGAGCCAGAGCGCGGAGGGCCAGCUGACAUCGUCCAUGGCACAGAUCGACGAGGACGCGCUGUGCGAGUUCUGCGCCAGCCAGGGGAUGUACUCGUGGAGCCGAAGCCCGGAUAUUCGCUGAAACCAAAGCUGGAGCCGAGCCCAACGAAAAGCCCAAAGCCCAUCCCGAGGCCCAACAAACAACAACAGCAAUGUCUCAAAAAAAAAAUUCAGCCUUCAAGCAUUCUAUAGCAAAGCCCCAAACUCAACACCACACAAGGUCGUGCGCUGCCACGACCUAGAUGCAUAAUGGUCGUCAAGACCCCUUUGAAAGGUGGUCGCGGCCAUCACGCCGCCGAACUCUGAUGUUUGUAUGUAUUUGCCGUGGUUUGUAUACUUCCACAUUUACAUCCUGACUCAAAAUUCUUUGCUCAGAUUGUUGCUUAGUACUGACCUGAAGAUUUUUUUUAAAUGAGGGCUGCCAGCCAAUUACAAUGAGCAUCUGAAACAAAUAAUAUAUCUAUUUGUCAACUUACAUAAAGAGAUGUCAUGGCAGUUUUGAUAACUUUGAUUGAAAAUCCUAGCGAGUCGCUUGGUCGCUAGGAUUAAUAAGGUCCAGAGUCUCCUCACCAAGAUGCAGCUCUAUUCCCAUGUAUUUGUACUGCAAAGAAGAAGGAAUUUCAUGAACAGGAAAGAAAGAUCAGUGGUUAAUUACAGUGAUAACAAUCAAGAGACCAGAUUUUCUACCCCUGGAUGGGUGGUACGACUACGACCCCUAGAUUCAGCAUGAGUUCAUGCUUUUAGAUCGACACAUAUUGUGUCCCUAACUCCCUCUUCCCUGCACUGUGCAGCAUUGUACUGUCCCGGAUGAACUAAUGCAUGCAUAGUUUGUAGUAAUCGAUUUACAUUUAUGCUAGACAAACAACCCACUUGUCAUGUCCAUUGGAAAACAGGUGUGCUCCCAAGAACCAGUUGGAGGAAACAGUAGUACGUGGAACUGCCAAAGUAUGAAAGCGGAAUUCCUUCAUGGAAGAUCCAACCGACUUAGGAAAGAGAAGGAUUGGCUUUGCCUGAGAAGAUACGCAGAUCCGUGCCACCACGAGGACGGGGCUUAAACGCGGAGGCUUCGAGCGUCGAGGUGAGACGCCGUCGUCCCUGAUGCAGCGAUGGCGGCGGCAGAGGAGGAGGAGGAAGGGAGCGGCACAGGGAAAGGAAAGGGGGCCAGUGCGGGCGAGGGUUUUUGCAGAUGAGAGAGGCGCGGGGCGACGGUUGAGGAGGCGGCGGCGCGGGCGGAGGGGGAGCGCAGCGGCGGCAGAGCAGAGGAGAAAGCGGCUCUGCGCGACGGCUUCAGCUUCCGGUGCUGUCGAGUCGUGACGAAGAUUUUGCGUUAGCGAUCUCGUUCCUAUGUGUAUCAGUUGGGCCAGCUCGGUGUCGGCCUGCUGGGCCUACUGUGUAUGUGCCCAGCAGAGGCACGCGUCGUUCUCCUGGCCCAGCAAGCCGUUCCGAUCCCAUCGAUCGACCCGGGGUGUGACGAACAACGAAAAGUUUGUCUUUGCAGUCGGCUGAAUGGGCCGUCGAAGCUACUGCACUUUUAUGUUUGUGUUCAAAAUACUUCUUUUGUGCGUUUACAAAUUUUGAUGUUCAUUUGCUUUCAAAUUUCGAGAUGAAUAUUCUCGACAUGAAACUGUGGGCGACACUAGCCGCAGAAAAUUCCAUUGGAUCUCUUAUCAGCAUAGUUUUACGUGCUAAGCGAUCUCCGCUGAGAGCAUAUCGACACUCCUUAGUGGACAGGACACCAUCAAAAGAAAGCAACAGGACAGAAUCAUAUCAACAUGAUCUCAGUCGAUUCGGGCCUACUAAUUCCGAAUCUUUUUGAUUUACUUCCUCCGUUCCGUCCAACAGACGUGUCUUAAGUUUUGAUUAAAUUUCAACAGACAUGUCUUAAGUUUUGAUUAAAUUUGAAUGCGUCUAUACAUGUCUAAAUACAUUAAAUUUUUGACAAACUUGAGACAUUUUUUGUUGGACGGAGGGCGUACAAGAAAAUAAGAGUUCUUGAUCCCAAACGAGAUCAAAGUGUCUGCACCUCAAGAUCUCACAAAAAAUAAAUAAAAGGUCGAUCUCAAUUACAAUAUUUUUUCGGGGCAAACCAUCUCUAUCACAGUUCACAAAUAUGUCCACGGCAUGUACGGGUAUAUAUGCAUAGCAAUCAGCGAGUACGGGUAUACCACGCACACUUGGUCCAAUGAUCCAUCAUUACAAAUUAAUUAUAACAAAGAUGACGAUCAAACAGAAACAGAGACACCCACGCAACCCUUUAUUCCGACAAACCCUCAGUACGUUGCUUUAUUAUUACGGGAAGCGCUGCUUGAACCAACAAACUUGUUCCUGCCAUCACCACAGAACACAAAUUAAGCCAGAAACUGUAACAGAAUACCCUGCUCUUCUCAUUUUGGGGGUUUCAUAGAGAAAAAGAAAGCUCGGUGAUUGGUACUCUUAAAUUUGAACCGUGGAAUUGUAUCGAUGAAGAUGCCAUUGUUCAAGGCUAUGAUUAACUUCUAUGAUAAAGAUGAUGCAGACAUGAAACUGAACUGAUGCGACAACAAAUAAAUAUACAGGGCAAGCCCAGGAGAUAAACAGAAGAACUUACACCAGGCAACGAUCUUCCAGCGCUGGUUGUCGCCCUCGCACCACUCCCACAGCACGAGGGUGGUCCCAUCGCGCACACCACCAUGGUCCUUGUCGCCAUGGAGCGCAUCAAAGUUCAAGUAGAUGUUGUUCACCAUCCUGAUGCAGCGGUAGCCUUCACCGACGUCCCUGCUCUCGGUCCACAGGACAGACUCAUCCAUGUACUCUGGAUUGUAGCUGGCCAGGCGAACCUAACAAAACCCAUUGAAAAAGCAGGAGUACUGAUUAAGAUCCAAGAACGAAACCAGCAGAAUCACACAGUAUCAGAGCAGCACUGUAGGCAUGAAUAUCAGGACAUGACCAUGGCUACAUUUCAUAGCAAUACCAAAUUUAAUUGUGGACCUUUCAGCAUUGUGUAUACAAAAUUUACCAAACUGGAGUAUUUAAGAACGAGUUUUACUUGACAGUGCACGUGCACAACCAUAGAAGUACUGUCACAUAUGCGCAUGGAUGCUAAUGUUAAAUUAGUUCACAUAUAAGUGUUUGAUGCAACAAAUACACUGACAGUUGUUUACAAAAUUUCUGAACAUAAAAGUGCACACGGUCAUCUGUAUGUAUGCACUUAUGUAUAUAUUUUUCCCGAAAAGGGGGAUGUCCCUGGCCUCUGCAUCGAUGGGAUGCGAUGCACACAACCACUUUUAUUGCAAUGUUAAGGUAAUGUGAAACGCCAUGGCAGAUCUUAGGAUGUUGACACUAACGUACACUGACAAAAGAUUACUGAAAAUUUGCUGACACAAAGCAAAUUGUUACUUGACAGUGCACAUGCACAACCAUAGAAGUACUGUCGUGUGCACAUGGAUGCCAAUGUUAAAUUAGUUUAGAUCUAAGUGUUUCACACAGCAAGUACACUGGCAGUUGUUAACAAAAUUUUCUGAACAUGAAAUUGCAGAAGGUCAUCUAUAUGUAUUCACUUAUAUUUUUUCCAAAAAGGGGGAUGUCCCCUGGUUCUGCAUCAAUGUGAUGCACACAGCCACUUCUAUUGCAACGUUAAGGUAAUGUGAAACAAGAAUUAUUCUAGGAUGUUGACACCGUAACAUACACUGACAAAAGAUUACUGAAAAUUUGCUGAACAAGACACCUACUAGGCAAGCAUUAUUCUAAAGCAAGUCAUCUCAGACAUAAAGGAUAGCAGAACAUGACACCACUACGCAAAUACUAUUCGAAAGCAGAAUUGAUUAGUCCAAUGGAACACAGCCCUGUAUGAAGUGUCCUAGGCUCCUAGCAGAUACUCUGAUAUGUCUGAAUUUGUCAAUACAAUCCACUAGGUCCAUUGCGGAUGCUUGCAUCGGAUGGGGAAACUAAAUUAAAGGACGAUGGAUGGAUGAGUGGAAGCAAGGAUUGAACAGGUAACAUACAGGGUGGGAUUGGCCGAGGGAGUGCUUGAGAGCCUCCCCGGUGGCCUUGUUGACGAGCGCGAUGGCAGGGUAUCCUUCCUCAUCCUUCACCCUCGUGCUGUACUUCAUGUCCUUGAUCCAGUGCUGCAUAAAAAAAUACACAUAGAACUCAUUUCAAGCAGAAAACAACUUCUUUUUUUAUCCCGUUCCCCAAAAAAAGAAAAGGACAAAAGCACACGCCAAAUCCUCAGAUCCCGAAAUCACUCUGUGGAAUUCGUGCGAAUACGGGAAAGGUAAAGGGGACGACGGAUCUGUGUGCUGUGCAGGGUACCUGGGCGUCGUCGUCGCGGUCGGUGCGGACGAGGCAGACCUUGCCGUCCCUGGCGGCGAGGCUGAAGCCGGCCUCGCCGGCCUUGCAGACGAUCCUGAAGGUCUGCUGCCUGACAGGGGCCGCCCCACCGCCGCCACCGCCACCGUGGUGCGGGCGGGUCUCGUGGCCGUACCCGGAUCCGCCGCCGUAGUGCGGCCUGUCCUCCUCGCCGGACUCAUGGGAGACGUGGACGACGUUGCCGUAGGCCGGGGCGGGCGCGCGUCCGCCGCCGUAGCCUCCGUCGUCGUCGCGGCCGCCGUGGCCGUAGGCCGGAGGCGGGGCGCGGCCUCCGUAGCCGCCGUCGUCCUCGCGGCCGUAAGACGGAGGCGGCGCACGGCGGCCGUAGCCGCCGUCGUCGUCGUCGCGGCCCCCGCCGUAGGCCGGCGGGGCACGGCCGUAGGGGUCAGCUGGAGGGCGGCCGUAGGAAGGGGGAGGGGCGUCGUAGGGGUCUGCGGCGGGGCGGCCGUAGGAAGGGGGAGCCGCGUCGUAGGGGUCCUGGUGGCCGUAUGCGGGCGCGUGGCGGCGGCGGUCGUCGGAGUCGUCGUCGCCGCCGCCGCGGCGGCCGUGGCCGUGGCCGUGGCGGUGAGGGUACUCCGCCAUGAUUAAUUGAUCUGGGAGGAGAUGAAAUGGGGGAGGAAAUUGAAUUUUGAGGUGGAUCUGAAUUAAUUCUGAUGAUCUGGGCCUGGGCCUUGCUAUAUAUGGCCCGGACUUGUCGCUGUCUGGUCCGGUCGGUCCGACGCAGCCAUCAAACGGGUCGGACCUUGACCCGAUCGGAUCGGGCGCGACGUGGCGUCCAUUAUUGAAGGCCCGUCGACCGAUCUCGAGUUUGCAUUCUGUUUUGCAACCGAUACCCACGUGUCAGCUAAUCAGGCGUCCACGUACGUGUUAUACGUGUCCACGUGUACAGCCAGCUCGACGCAGGUACCCUCCAGGUGUUCAUAUUCGCUUGUGAUAUAAAGCCAAAAGGAGACACUGUCCAGAAUAAAAAUGGAGUAAGAAAGAGACAGUUCCUCCAUUGCUCACUACUGUACUAUACUGCUUGAUUUAAUUAGUGUUUUUUUAGCGAAAAUUUAAUUAGUGGUGCACACGUCGCAGAUUGAUUCGACCGUCCUGCAAAUCGUAUCAAAUCAGCCUGCUCAAUUAUAUCGCUUGAUUUUUAUUUGUCUUCCUUAGAAAAAGGUUGAUUUGUACUCUAUGGCCCAUAAACAGUGUGAUCGUACGCUGACAGCUGCUUUUGUUUGUUUGGUUUUUCUUGCAUGUGUUCGUUAAUUCUUUAUUGUUUGGCUCAAGGUUUACUCCACCGUGUGAUCCCAAUAAACAAUCUCGUCAGGCCUCCAGAAUCAAUAACGUCAAUCUUCCUAGUAUCCCCUCUCUGAAAAAAAUAAUAUUGCGCAAUAUUUCUACGAUGGAAUUUACAUGGCCUAGAGUGAUGCACAUGCUCAUCUGUAGGGCCUAAUUGCCAGAAAAAGAAGAAGAGAAAACUUUUUUUUGAGCGAAUAGAACAAGAGAAAGCUAAAGCAGGGCCCCACAAUACGUGCGUAAAAAGAAGAAACAAAUCUGAGAGGGUAUUGGGCCAAACCCACUCCUAACAGGCCUAACAUGUCCUUGUAGUCGGGCGGUUGGGCCCACGUACAGUUAACGGCCUGCCUGCACAUACCCAACCAAAUCGCACCCACUCGGUACAUACAGGCCGACAGAUUUGGCCCAUUCUCUAUGAUCCACUUUGUACUAAUAUUUUGUUUUGUUUUUCUUUUUCUUUUCUCUUUCCUACGAAAAUAAAAUACGGAGUAAUCCAGUACUAGUAUAUGCUUUUUUCUAGGAAGCAAUAGCUCUGCCGAUGCAAGCAAUACAUGCUAGUAGUACAUUGGUACUGACUUAACUAAAAAUUGUUUUCUGGGCCGAUCACACGCUUUGCUGCAGCUAGCAAGCAUACACAAGUUGCUGAUCAGCUUGCGUCAAUCCCAUCACUUUGAUUAACUUAAGAUGAAUCUGACGAAAGAUCUAUCUCUAUCUACGGAUCGAUGUGCAGAUAGAGCUAGCUUGUAUAUGUGUGACAUCAUUUUGCAUAGCUUGCGAGGCAUCAAACCUUUUGGAUGGAUGCUUUCAGCACAAGUCUCUGGCUCUCUGCAUGCACGAGAGCUUAGUUAAUUAAUCGGUUGCUUCAUACUCCUACUACUACGGAGUAUUAGCCAAGUGACGUGCGCUUUUGCUUCGUCUUAGGAAGCAGCAGCUUAGUUAUUUUUUUUUAGAACAUCGCAGUUUAGUUAAUCAGCUCCGGUUAGCUAUAUAGUUGCAUUGGGUGGUCAAACACUUGACCGAGAAUAGUUGUUUGGAAUUAAUAUUUGGAGGCUGAGGGAACAAUGUGCUUAGCUAGCUAGCUUGGUAACUCCCUUGCCUUUCACGUUACACGUAAAUACGUACUGCACAUUCCACAAGCAAAAGGGUUUAAAGUUAAAUACUCGGUCGCCUUACGUGAGAGAAUUCCCAAACAUGUAAAUUAACGAGCUACCAUGCACAAUGUCAACAACAGAAAUCAUAUAUAUGUAUAUAUAGUGGAUGAAGGCACUCAUUCCAUAUAAUUUUAUCAUUUUACUGUAUUAUAUUCUAGCUGAUGGUGGUGGACACACAUGGCC
rnacentral:lncRNA from 1 species